rnacentral:lncRNA from 1 species
UAUCCGAUAGUGAUAAUAUAUACACCGUCAGUAUAUAUAAGAUUUACUCUAGUUUUUAAUAUAUUAAGUUAUAGCAAAAAUUUUUAAAAAGUUAUAAAAAUACCUAAUUCAUAUGAACCCUAUAUUAUAUUGUUAUAUUCGAGAAAAAGUUAAUGUACAUAAAUAAAGUAUUUUAUAUAUAUUUGGCGUGAUAAUAUAAUGCAGUUGUAUAUCAAAAAAAUAUAUAAUAUGUACAGUAACUAUACGAACCGAAUGCAAUACAACUGUUCCUACCCCAUAUUAUCAUCCCAAUUUGUUUUUGUUGUUCCACCAAUCACGUUAACGUUCCAUCUAUCUUGUGAACACACUAAUGGUCUAUGGUUGUUUUUUAGCCGUUUUUAGAAAAAAAAAAAAAAUUUAGUAUACGAUAUUUAUUAGUAAACGUAUCUAAGAGAAACAAGAAUGUUUUGGAACGGUGUUUGAAAUUUUUUUGAAAACAUAUUUUUGAAAAACAUGGGAAGGAAUUGGAUUACGAGCUUUCUCAAGUUCUGAAUCAAGGAGACCAUGGUUAGAGAAAUCAUACCACCUACAAAACUUAUUUGAGCUACUCUGGGAAUAUUAAACAUUAUGUAUAUAUUAAAUUGGCACUUGCAACGUACUUUGCAUUAUGUGGAUUAUGGAUCUUAUAUCGAGUAAUGUCUCUUUACUAUAAUAUUGAAAUUUAGUAUAUACGUUAUAAAUUAGAAUCCUCUCCAUUUACGAGCAUUCAUGUUGCAUGAUAGUUAUGUAAAAUCAUUAUGGUAUAAGGACGUAGUUUUUGGGUAAAGAAACUAACGCUUACAUAUGUUGAAUUAUUGAAGUAAAUGAAAGUUAAAAAAAAAAAAUAGCGGAAAUGCUGAAGAAAUUGAAAAUUAAAAUACUAACUAAAUAGAACGUCUUACAACAAUUUAAAGGCUUUGAUAGUAACACGAGUAUGUAUGCUUUAACUCAAUCUUGACAGCAAGUCCAAACAUGGUUUAGUACAAACACUAAGGAACCUUAGGUGUUUUCUAGAGAUUUUCCCUGUUUGGAUUGUCAUAUGAAUAAUUUAAAUAUGAAAAUUAACAACAAUCCUACAUGUCCAUUAAUAUUAACUCUAAAAACAUAAUGUAUUCUAAAUGUUCAAUUAUUUACUAAUUUUUACAAAUUUGUUUACAUACUUUUACUAUAAUAUGGUAGUAUACAUCAAAUAAUGUAUCCCAUAUAAAAAACUUGGUAGAUAUUCUUUUUUUUUAUAAGUAUUCUUUUAGAUAAUUUAAAUUUUUAUAAUUACCAUAAACCUAGAACUAUAUAUUUACAUUUAAUUAAGUAGAAAAGAUCCAAUAAUCUGCUUUUUUUUUCAUCAAUAAAUAUUUAGUUUUCAGCAGUAACAAUUAAUUCUCUUUUUCACACUAAAUUAAUUCAAACUUAAGGAAAGAGAUGAUGAACAAUUUGAAUACUAAUCAACGAUAUAGUGAUGAAAGAAAGUAAUUUAUGAAAUAUGUAAGAUUUAAUAAUUGUAAUUUGAAAAAGGCUUUACUAUAGUUCUAUGUAAUAAUUUGAUAGACUGUAGAUAUCAUUAAGAUAAGAUUAGUUAUUUUUAAAAUUUAUUUUAAAAUUAAGGAUAAUUUUAAAACAUAUAAUAUAAUAUUUAAUAUGGGUAAAACCCAAAUGACCCAUAACCCGUUAAUUCUCUUCAAUUAGGCAUGCCAUAAAGGAGUGAGACACACUCUAAUUAAAAUAGCUACUUUCACACACACACACACAUAUAUAUACACACAAUAAUAAAGUCUCCUAGUUGUUUGGUGUAAAUUUUCCUGUAAAUCUAUCCAAAUCCGAGUGGAAUACUACUCAACCCAACACUACUGUCUCAAUCUGAAAUACUAUUCAACCAAAACUUCCUCAAUCCAGUAUCCACAUCCUCUCUUACUUAUCCCACUAAACUAUUAUUUCCCCCUUUUUACUCAAUCAAUCAUUUUCCCAUCACUUAAUAUUUUCUAAUAACAUUUUUAAACGAGGAGCACACGCAUUUUUUGAGUGUGUCUCGAUAAUUAGCGGUAACAAAGGCUCGUCAUGCUUUACAAGAUUUUUUUAGGUGGUAUGGAAAUACGAUCUUUUCUUCUUACUACUUUAUUAUCCCCUUUUUUGGCAUAUGAAUAUAGAGUCAAUGAAAUCUCGAAAUUAAGAUCUAAAAUGCAAAUUUCACUACCCGAUUUGUUCCUGAUGGUGAAAUGGACAAGAAGAAACUCUUGUGUGAUUUCAGAGCUGAAAAUUGAAGAAUAUAAUAGUUGCCGUCAAACAGUUAACCUACCGUGUUCCUUGUCUGGUAGAGAAAAAGUGUGACUAAUAGCUCAUGGUUUGAUCAGAUUCAUUGUGUGUUUUCUACUAAUUGAAUUGGAAAUUAAGGAGUGAAAUUUCCAGGCAAUUAAGUCCUUGUCUUCACUGAAUUUCUAGUUUUUUUUUUCUAGCAAUUGGAUAUUGAGGAGCAAAAUUUCCGCGAAAUUAUCCUUAUCUUCCAUGAAUGUCUAAUGUUUUCUAUGAAUUGGACGUUAAGGAGAAAAUUUUCGAUGAAAGUAAGUCCUUAUCUUCACUGAAUUUCUUACCUUCCAAUUGAAGUUUCUAAGGUAAAUCCCUUACUUUCCAAGUGAAAUUUCAAGGUAUCCACUAUCCACUAUUAUGGUGCGCUCCAUCGAGGAAAUAGGGCCUCCCCAGUUUCAAUUCUGUCUAGUUAUAUAAACUAAUAGAACUUUGGUGUAAAUUGGUACAGUUUUGGUAUAAAUAUGAAUUAUAACUGAGUUGGUGAAAAACUUACGAUUACAUAAAAAAUAUUUUAGUUUACACUGAAAUUGUGACAAUUUACACAACUACUUUUAUCAAACGGAGCCUAGAAGAAACCUCAAAUCCGCUUUUAUCAACUGUGAUUUACCCCUCCAAAUCAGUCUUUACGAAACGAAGAAGAAACCUAUUCUGUUUGGGCAAAUAUAUACUUCAGUAAACCUGAACUAAUAUUUUAGAUGUUUUAAAUAAUUGAACUACUUGCAUUAUUUUUUGCACCUUCUAAAAAAUUACAAAUUUUUAAAGCAUAUCGGCUUACAAGACUAUUUAUGUCAAAGUAGACUAAGGUCUUCUAUUUGUGUGUUGGGUGAUCAACAAGGAAGAUCCAACUUAAUGAAUUACUCAAAAGUUAGUAUUAGGUAUUUGGGAAUUAAAAAACAGUUACUUACCACAUAACUACCCAACACCUUUUUGGGGGCACACCUUCUCCAGAAGUAAUUUCCAAAAAUUGAUUGAUUUCUUACUUCUACCCCAAGCAAAAUCAUAAAGGUAAAUUACUUUGACUUUUGCCAUCCAUUUACUUUUUUUUUUUUUAAUAUCACUCCAAAAAUUAUAUUUAGUCUAACAUAAAGUUCACCAAUAGAGUGUACUGAAAUUGGUAGUCUUGUAAUGAUACUUUUCUUUAUGUCAACCUUAUCGUCUCAAUGAACAAAUAAAAUGUAAGGUUGAUUUUGUGUAUAUUAUGAAGUUGCAAACCAUAACUUCAAGGAUUAACCCACAUUAGUACCUUUUAUUUGCCAAAUAUUCGCGUUAGUCAAUGUCUUAAAAUCAGCUUGAACGCGCCAUCAUGUCAUAUUAGAACAUUAUGAAAAGAAAAACAUCCACGCAUGGCUUAUAAACAAAUAGUUGACAAUAGGUAUCAAGAGGGGGAGGAAAAAAAAGCAGUUAAAAUAAGUUUAUGGAUUAGCACUGUCAUACAUAUCAUGAAUAAAAUAUACUAUCAGCGUUGUAUGAGGAAAAAAAAAUACACUGUCAGCGUUGAAUGAAUGAUAAAUUCAAAUUUUGCAUACAUAUCAUGAAUUAAAUGAUGAUAAUGUAUACAUUUUCGGUGUAUAUAAGAUUUAUUCUAAAUUUAUUUAUAUUUUAUUUCUUAUGUAUUCCAAUUGCAAAAUAGUGUUUUUUUCUUCGAUAUACUUGAGCUUUUACACAACAAUUAUAAUAAUUUGUUUUACAUUUUACUUUUCUUAGAUAUCUUUGAACAUUUUUCCACAUUUCUCAAAAAUUUGAAUUGCAAGAUUUGAGUGACUAGAAAGAAGUACUAUAAAGCAUCUCUUCUACAUAAUACUUAUUAAAAUCAUUUUAGCAAAAGACGUUGACUUGAAAGCAAUCCAAGUAAUUCUACCUGUACCAACAAAUGAGUCGAUUCACAAACGUGGCUCAACUUAAUUCAAUACUCACUAAUCAAAAAUUUGAAACGACCUGCAUUUAGAAAAGUACCUACAAGCACCCGUAUUUUUCUCCGAACUUGAUCAUAGGAUGCAAAUUGGACCGUUCUCGUUCGAGUUCAAGAGUUGACUCGUUCAGUCGUCUGUAGCCUUCAAUUGGAUUUUCACCUCAAUUUCCUCUACCGUACAUGUUUUUCCACAUUGAGCAUUGAGGGAUGCGGACAGAUGUAAGACUUAUGGUAACACAUUUUCUUCCAUGAAAUUACACCGUCAAUUUCGCCGAACCGUCUCACAAAUUGCAACUUCUUAUAUUAUUGUAACUUAUUGGUACCUAUCAGAGUAAUUACCCAAAAGUUUUGAUUAGGGUGUGCGUUAGGUACAAAUUCGAUUAUUUAAUUAUUUGAAUUUGAUUUUUUUUGAUUAUUUCACUUGUAAAAUUUUAAGUCGCUCUCAAUUUAGAAUUGGAAAUUACAAAAUUUAUUCGAUUACCGAAUUGAAUUCGAAAAUGAUUAUGAAGCUGGUUAUAACCAAAUUAGAUAGUAAUUUUGACAUAAUUAAAUGGGAUUCAUUUGUAUAGUUGUAUACACUUAAUCACUUAUAAUUUACAAAUGAUGUAUUGUAUUAAACUUACAUUUGUUUUUAUUUUUUUUAUAUAACUUAAAUGUUUAAUUUGUAAAUAACUUGAUUGCUUUCAACGGUGAAUGCUAACAAACUAAUAUGUUGACAUGCAAUUCAUAUACAUUCGCUUAGACUGCUUAAUCAUACUGCUUAGUUACUUACAUUAAACAAGAUUAGUGAUUAGAAAAUAUAAAUUCACAUAUUGUAUAUGUAAUGUAAAUUUAGAGUAUAUUAAUACUUGCAAAUUAAAAGUUACACAUUCAAAUAUUUAAUAACCCAUGCUGAAUCAAUGUCUAAAUUCUAAUUAAUAAUUAUAUUUAAUAUUUAGUACUAUACUUAUUAUAUAAUUCUAGUUAUGUAUAAAACGGUAAGUAUUAUAAUUAUGUAUUAUUGUAUAUUUAUAUUAUUAUAAUCAUAUAAUAAAUACUAAAAUAGUAUAUUAUAAAUCAUUAUUUAUAUUUUUUAUUAUAGGUACAUAAUAAUACUAUAUAUUAUCUAUUAUUAAUAGUUUAUACCUAUAUAAUAUAUUAAUAGUAUAUAACAUUUAUCUCUAUAAUAUAUAAUUUUAUAAACUAAUUUGGUAUUCGAAUACAAUAAUAUAUUAUCUUAUUUUAUUUUAUUGAAUUUAAAUUUAAAAUUGAUUAUUACCAAAUUAAAAAUUUCAUUAUCUAUUUCAUAUCAUAUUAAAAUUCAGUAAAUUUGAUAAAUACCAUUUUAUACUAAAUAUUGAAUACCCUAUUUCAAAUUACCAAAUUAAAAAUAAAAUUGGAUAUGAAUUUGGUAUAUACCAAGAUUGCUCACCUCCAGUGCUGACACCCUUUUGGAAUUAAAACAAGGGUAAAAAACAGGAACUGUUUUAAAAGUGUUUUUCGCGAGCGAAACUUCCCCGAAAUUUCCUUCUAUUCUUGUCUGCUCCUUCGACCUCAUUCUCUCUCCUGCGGUUCCCAGACGGUAAAUCGAAUCACUCCUUUUCUUCAUCUCUCUCUAGAUUGCAUUAAGAAUUAAGGAAAGUAUUAAUAUUAAUCACUGAGUAACUGCCUUGAUUGUGCAUAUUCUCUUGAUUUUUUAUGCAUAUAUAUAUGUAUGGCUCACAUGAGCCGGUGAAUUGCGGGACUUUUGAUGCAUAUGCAUUUUGGUCGGUUGUCUUCCUCCGACAGCAACCAAACCCUAGCGCAUUCUCCGAAGCAGAAUUUCUGGAUUUUACUGUAGUUUUCUCAGCAUUUGUGAUCUUUUGUUGGAUGAAAAUUUAUGAGUCCGUUUGAGAGUGCAACUUGUUUUCGAAAAACAGUGCAAAUUAUUUUCCAAUCGGUGUCAUCUCUCCUGCGACAGCAUUUAAAGAAAUUCAACGCCAACAGAAAGAAGAAUGAGUGAGGAUUUUAAGCCUGCGUCGCCGUAUAGGCGGUAUCGGAACAGCGACACUGAUUUGGAGUCUGGAAUCGGCCGUGUCGGCAAUGGCUCUACUGACGACGACGACGAGGGGACUUCUGGAGGGCCUUUUGAUAUUUUUCGCACCAAAAGUGCCCCUAUUGAUCGGUUGAAGAGGUGGCGGGUAUGUGUUGUAGUUUUUAUUUUUAUUUUUUGUUUGCAUUUUUGUAAUUUUUAGUUCUUUUAUUUCUGGCAAUGUAAGUGGAUUUAGUGUAGCGAAAGAUUGUUUGGUAGAAAGUUUUGUUGAGCGAAUUUUUGGUUACUAGAAUUUUGUCUAGGAAUAUUUUUGCAGAAAUUUUGGAAAGAGUGAAAGCUGAUAGAGUGUGGAGAAUUUGUGGAAAAGGAAGUUAAACAUGGGCGAGUGAAGUUGAUAGCAAUGGGUGAGGUAUAGAUACAGAGGUUGGAUUAUUAAUCGGAAAGGAGAUAUUUUUUCAAUACUAUUUGGUGAUGGCUUUUCAUAGCAGAAUAAAAAGAGUGGGAUCUUAGUAAAGGCCUCCGUUGCGAAUAUUGGAUAUAACAUACAAAUUGCAAAAUUAUAGUUGUAAAAAAUUGGAGGAACUUGGUUUGAUGCAGGAUGUGGUGUAGUGGAUAUCUGCAAUAUUGUAACAAAUACAUAUAUCUAUUGUGUUGCUUAAAAUUUCUUUGAUUAUAAAUAACCUGUUCAGCUUAUCUUUUGGAGUCUUAGAUGUAGCUGUUUGUAUCCUCGGACAUGCAUCUUAAGCUAAAAGGGUUACAUCCUUAUACAGGAUCAUGGCCCUUUAAGUUUCAGAAGUUCAGUUAUUUGCUUCUCUUCUGUGCAGCUUCAGCUUCUGUGUUUCUGAUUUCAGUUGAUAAACUUCAGUGUCACCUCAACUUCUCAUUUUAAACUAAAGAUUAUCCUCCUUCAGCCUCUAGUUUGUAAUUGAUAGCUAAGCAAGAAAACAGCAGUUAUCCAAAUAAUUGAUGUAAUAAGAUUUUGUUGGUAUCCAUCUAAAAAUUUUUCUGAAAUUCCAGACUUGACAUAUAUGAAAUCUGUCCAGCACAAGUAGUUGGAAGAUGGUUCCCCAAGUAUUGCCAACUUUAGUAUAUUGUGAAAUAUCUCAACAAUUAGAGCACUUAUUUUGCAUAUGGUCUUUGUGAGUCGAGGUUUAGGUUAACAAGGCUUCAGACCAAGUAGUAGUAACUAACUAUGGUUGUCAUGACAAUUCUUUUAUUUUUAGCCUGAAAGAAGGCUUUGAAUGGGGCUCUAGAUUAGCUAAUGUGUACCUAUGGCAUAUAGCAUGGCAUACUGUGUGGCAGAGAUUUCUUUUUGAGUUAUUGUAAUGUUCUUCUUACAUUGAUAAAAGGUUUAAUAACUUUAACUGAAUGAGAGCGGAUUGAAGAGGGAAAAAAUUUAGGUAUUGGGAGUAAAAUAGAGUUUAUGAGAACAUGAUAGAUUCAUAAAAUCGAAGGAACUUGAAGAAAAAUUCCAAGGGCAAGAAGCUGAAAUGGUUGAGUAGAAGUUUAGAGCUGCAAAUUGAUUUUCAAGAAAUGCUCUGACUGAUGCUAAGUGUCAAGACUGUAGCUGUCAAUUUGAGUACUUGACAGACAAUUAAUGUAGGGAAAUAAAAAAAUUCCGCAAAGGAAAGCAAUCUAACGAUUAGAACUGAACUCGUCAGAUGCUUGUGAAUGCAAUGAAGUGGUUGGAAAUGAAAGAAAAGAACACGAGAGUUAGAGAAUAUUGAGCAACAGUACAGCUGGAGAGCUUAUUUACUUGCUUCUCUAUGUAAUUUUCUGAAUAACAGUAUUUUUGAACAUGAUUAAUAAUUAUGAUCACAUGUAGAGAUGCGAUUAAAUGAUGAGUAUUUGAGUUAGUAAUGUAAGUUGCUGUAUUGAGAAUUAUAAGCUGAGGAUGUUAUUGUGUCUUACUUCGAAACAUGAUUAAUGUGCCCAACUUCUCAAUGUAAUUUUCUAGACAACGGCAUUUUUGAACAUGACUAAUACUAUUUGAGUUUGGAAUAUAAGUUGCUGUAUUGAGAAUAUAAGGCGAGGAUAUUAAUGUGUCUAACUUCGAAGUUUGCAAUGAAAGAAGGGCACCAUUUUAGUUAUGUUAUUUCUUGGAAAGUUUCUUUGGGAGAAUGUUGCCGAUUGUUUGACAAAUGGAUUUCCUGUUUAUAUUUUUCAGCAAGCUGCUCUUGUGCUGAAUGCAUCUCGACGGUUUCGCUAUACAUUGGACUUGAAAAAGGAUAAAGAGAGGAAGCUACUUUUAGCUAAGAUUAGAACGCAUGCACAAGUUAUUCGGGUGAAUAUUGGUUCUCAAUUCUUUUUGGAGAAUUAUCAUUCUUAUUUUUUUGUGUAUCUCAUGUUAAUGCACAACACUUUUAUCAGGCUGCUGUUCUCUUCCAAGCAGCUGCACAAGGUGUGGAUGGUAAAUUACUUGCUCUAUUGUUUUGUACAGUUUAUUUGUUGUUCAGGGUUUUGGCUUCAAUGCAAGAUGCAGAAUUUAGACUAAGAAGAGUUUUUAUGCUGCUUCUCCUUGUACUCAUCUUCAUCCAUUCCUCAUGGGUGGAAAUUCUUUUUUCAGAUAAUAUUUUAUUUUUCAGGCUUUCUUUGAGCAUCUUUGAACUUUUCGAGCAGGGGGGCUAGCUAUUUGACACAUACAGACAAUAGGAAUUUCUUCUUGUUCACAUUUAGUUUGACUAUUGACCUGCAAUGCCUGUGCAAUCCCUAUCUCUCCUGUAUCUUUGCAAAUUUUGGUCCUAGAUCUGUCUUUUGUCUCUAUAAUUCGGUUGUCAUGCAUGGUUGUAUGCUUUUUGGUUUAAUUUAUUUGUGGCUGGAGGCUUUUUUAGCUCGAAGCCGUUGACUUUUUACAUUCUGCCUCUGCAAUGAUGCGAUUUCUUUGUUGUGGAGCAUGCUUUGCUAUUCUUUUGAAAGUCAUUUCAUCAUUAAAUGUACACUGGCAAUAUGAGUUCUUCGAUACUUGAUGUGGUUUUCUUGCAUAGGAUGAGAUGACUUGGAAGUGUUGCUACUUCAAGCCUGUGUGGAUCUUGAACAUGAGAAAUAUUUGUUGAGUGUUUUGCCUAUAAAGGUUGAUGCUACUUUUUGAGUAAUGGUUUUCCUCAUGUUCUGUUUUGCACAUGCAACAGAAUUCCUUAUUGAGGGGUGACAAACAACGUCCAAGGCCAUGGAUGUUGAGUAUUUGUGUGAUUAUCUUGGGACAUCAACUUGACGCCUCCGCCAUCGAAUGAUGUAGAUAACAUUCAGUAAUGCUGUUAAACUAAAUAUACUCAUAAAAUGCAUGGAGAACAAUUUAUUUGUGAAAGGUUGCUUGUCACUGAUAUGGUUGAUGCGGGAGUGGUAUUGGCAGCUGACUUGAUGUUUUAGUGUUUUAAGUCAUGACUUUUGCUAGUAAAAUGUAAAGCUAACAUUUGAAAUCUCUGUUUCUAUUUCUUUACUUUCAUCUCAAGUUUCAUUAAAACUAAUGCUUUGUCAUUUUAGUUGGUCUGUCCAAUUUGAUCCUGUCAAUGUCGCUUUUACUGCACUUAAUGUACAAGUGUUUUACUGGAAAGCAUAAAAGUUCAAGAUGCAUAGAGUCUUUGCUUCAUACUUCUGGGUUUUUAGUUGGCCUAUGCAAUUUGAUCCUAAUAAAUGUUUUACUGGAAAGCAUAGAAGUUCAAGAUGCAUAGAGUUUUUGCUUCAUACUUCUGGGUUUUUAGUUGGCCUAUUCAAUUUGAUCCUAAUAAGUGCUUUACUGGAAAGCAUAAAAGUUCAAGAUGCAUAGAGUUUUUGCUUCAUACUUCUGGGUUUUUUCCUUGCUUAUCUCCAUUGUCUUUCAAAGGCAUUACAUGUAUUGCAAGCACUGAACAUUUUGGUCAUGUAUGUCUGUAAUUUUAGUGCCAGGAUCCCCUUUGAAAAAGCCUCCAACACCGACUCGUACUGGAGAUUUUGAUAUCAGCCAGGAGGAGCUUUCUCAAAUGUCAAGAGAGCAUGAGAUUUCUUCAUUGCAGCAAUAUGGAGGGGUUAGUCCAAUGCAAUGAUUUUCCCUUUUCUCCUACUGUAUCAAGCAUCAUGCACAUCUAUGAAUUUGUUUAUUUUUCUGUGUAUUACGAUCAGGUUAAAGGUGUAGCUGAAAAGUUAAAAACUAGUCUUGAGAAAGGAAUUCGUGGGGAUGAGACAGAUUUUUUGAAGCGGAAGAAUAUAUUUGGAUCCAAUACUUAUCCACGGAAGAAAGGGCGAAGCUUUUGGGUAUGUUACUGCAAAUCGUUGAGUUAUUGAACCAUUUGCAUCAUGAGCUGUGCCUCGUUAACUUGCUUAUUUGUGAGUUGUGUUAUAGAGGUUUCUGUGGGAAGCUUGUCGAGACACUACUUUAAUCAUCUUGAUGGUAGCUGCGGCUGCUUCUUUGGCCCUUGGGAUAAAGACAGAGGUAAGCUUAAUUUUUGAGUUUGCUCUAAUUAUUAUUAUUAUUUUUUUAAUUUUAAGGAUAAGUUCACUCUUAAUACUUAUUUUGAAUUGAGAAUUGUAAGCCCUAUAAAGUUUUUUCUGUUUAAUAAUUUUGUUGUACUACUAUAUGUUUGAGAUCAUGAUUUUGUUAGUUGUAUGAAUUUUAAAUCUUGUCUUUUGAUUUUCUGACAAGAAUGGUAUCUGUCCCUAUCAAAUUCUUAUAGAUUAAAGUAUUUUUUUAAUAUACUUGUGAUUUACUAGCUAAUCUGAGUGGAAAAUGGAAAAUGCUGACAUGUUUUGAUUGGUUAAUUUUGAUUUGGUCUUGCCAUAGUCUAAUAUGUUGUUUUCCAGGGUAUAAAAGAAGGAUGGUAUGAUGGUGGAAGUAUCGCGUUGGCUGUCUUUAUCGUCAUUGUUGUAACAGGUAUUAUGACAAGUUUAGCAAAGAAAGUUGGUACAAUGUGUGGUUAAUUAAUGACCAGAAAUGCAGUUAAUUUCGAUUCUGUGGAGAACUGAAUGAAAUGUAUUACAUCCAUAUUACAAGUUUAUCCUAAGGUGUUGCUAUGGUGUAGCGUUUCUCUCAUUUGUUUUAAUUCUGGACUUCAAUAGGUUGCUUGUAGGUGUAAUAUUGGGAAAUACAGCAAACACUCAUCUGACAAAAUCCUUAUUGAACCUCUAAAGGAAAGUUUUCUUUGGUUUUGGAGCUUCUUUACAUCAACCCUGCUGUCUGACUUCCUCUUGAGGUCAUUAAGAGUUAUGGUCAGUCAGAACAAAAUGUUCCUCAUUUUACUUGUCUCAACAAUAGAAGACACUAUUUUUAUAUGAUACUUUUUGCAAGUAGUCAUGUAAUAAGAACUUGUCACCCCAGCAAGAUCUGGUCCAACGCUAUAAAGUAGUUGGUAGUUUAAAUUCAUGAGGCUCCUUUGGGUUUCCCUCGGAAGACAAGUAAAGAAGCGCCAUUCCUGGUGUAGGAGACAAGCUAAAUUUGUGGUUUAACAAAGACAUUUUUUCUUGCAGAAUGUUAAAUAAAGUGUUAAUUAUGUUUCACGUCAGGACUUGAGUGCAUUAUUAAACUGAAUUCUCAUACUACAAGGCAAUUUUGUCAUGGAGCCAGAAUUAGCUAAUUGUUUCAAAAGUCUGUUAUCUUUUUUGACUAGUCAAAUCUCAAUUGUCAUAUAGACCAUUUAGCAUCAUUUUAGAAGCAAGUCAAUAUAAUGAUGAGUUAAGCAAUCGACUUGACACAAAUUUUUGGAAGCACAACCAAGUAACUCAGAGCAAGUCCCACUUUUGUUUUGACAUAGCCAAUGUCUGGUGCUGUAGUUCGUUGGAUUUAUUUAUUGUGCAUAUACAACUAAACUGGCCCAAAAAUGAUUUGUUAACAUAUAGUAAUUCUAGAUAGAUCUUGGAAACUUUGUAUCCCUAUGCCUUUACAUAACAUGAGAAUGUGUUGUUCAAAUACAUUAUUCCUUGUGAGAGUAUGCUUCUGGUGGACGAAAGUUAUUUCUCUAUGAUUAGAAAAGAGGAAUGGCAUUUGGGAUUUGUACCUCAUGUUCUUGGUUUUUCCUAACAAAAUAGGGUAAAGUGUGCUCCUUGAACUAUAACAUUUGUUUUAGUCCUUAUUGCCAAGGUUUGUAUCAUGCUGGGUCCAUUUGUAGCUGCAUCUUAGAGCAAGUUUAUAGUUUUGUAUGUACAUCUAUUUAUGACAUCACAAUCAUCUUUCCAGCACGGAAGUAAAUGGCUUUUUACCUUGUCAAUGGAGUGCAGUAGCUGUGCAUCAUGGCCCAGUUCCCACUGCUCAUUGUAUUUAUAGCUCUGUGCAAUUGUGUGCAUUUUGAUGCACUCAUCUAUACUUUGGAAGAGAACUUGUCUAAAUAAAUUCUGUUUGAACUUUGUAGAAUUGUUGUCCUUGGUUACUUGUACCAUGCACUUGCAUAUGAUUUUAAUGGUUAAUGUUUAAGUUUACUGUGGUCCAUUGGGUUGCAGCACCUCUCAUUGUCAAUCUUGAUGACAUGCAUAUACCUGAAUGCCUUAUUUGUUAUGGUUCCUUGGCACUUCCAACUUUAGUUUGUCAGCAUAAUAUUAUUUCAAUUCUCAUUCUGUAGCCGUCAGUGACUAUCGGCAAUCACUCCAAUUCCAAAGUUUGAAUGAAGAGAAGCAAAAUAUACAUUUGGAGGUUUGUAAUCUACAACCCUGUGCUGUUCGUUGGAGCUUUUGUCCACUCUCAUAAUUUGAGAAAUUUGAAUUGCAGGUGGUUAGAGGUGGGAGAAGAAUCGAGGUUUCAAUAUUUGAUAUUGUUGUUGGUGAUAUCAUACCUCUCAAAAUUGGUGACCAGGUGGUUAUGAACUUUAUUUUUUCUCAUGUUCUGGAUUUUUACUAUCCUUGUGGUUGCACCUUUAUGCUUACAUACUUCAAAUUUUUUACAGGUACCUGCUGAUGGAAUUUUGGUUUCUGGUCAUUCUCUUGCAAUUGAUGAAUCAAGUAUGACUGGGGAGAGCAAGAUUGUAAGUGUGAAUGUGGCAAUUUAUUCCAGUACAUAUUGGGUAUGAGUCUUGCUAUUGUUGAUUGAGCCAAUAAUUUUUCUCACAGGUUCAUAAGGAUUCAAAGGCACCAUUUCUUAUGUCCGGUUGCAAAGUGGCUGAUGGUUAUGGAAACAUGCUGGUAAAGAGGAUGAAGAUAUUUUAUGAUUCUUGUUUACUAAAAAAUAUUUACGCUGUGGUUUUAUCUCUUGUGGCAUUUUCUGAAAAUUUCCUUUUGAUGAACAUGGAGGAAUGCACUUCGAACUGGUCACAACAUACUUAACAAUUCCUGGAUUAAUGGCAGCAUAAUAAGCACAAACUCUGUCAUUUCAUUUUGCUUUAGAUAUAAUUAAUUAGCACUCAGCAGUUCAACACCUUGAAUUGCAAGCACCAUUGGCAAACUUAGCAAAACUGAUCUGGCGAGCGUAGGGAACCAAUGUAUUUUUGAUCUCUUGCCCUUCAUUAUUGAACUGAUAUGAAGGAUUUAUGUAGAUUCUCUGGAAACAUGAUUGGUCGCUUCUUAUUUCAAAAUUUUUGUGCCUUUCCAUUUUACACCUAAUAAUGCUUGCAGCUUUAUUUGCUUGGUUUCAAUUCCAUUGGUCCAAAAAUAAAUCUCCAUUUUUUUUAAAAUUAUAGCCUGUUGCAUGUUUUUUGUAUUUGUCAUUCUUUUCCUGUGAAUUUUAUUAGCUAGAAGGUGGUAGGUUGCUUUCUGAUGACUUUUUGAUUGGGGUAAUGCUAAUGGGAGUAUGCUUAUUUUCCCAUGUCAGUAGUAUUCUUGAGAAACUUUUAGACCAGUCAUCUUUUCCAACUGAUACUGGGAUUGUACAUGGUCAUAUUAGAUUUGUUACAGUUGGUAAAGUCCAAUUGGUUUUUAAGGUGUGUUGAAAGUUAGUUAUGUAGGAUUCUUUGGCAAGGCACGAGUGCUUAGUAACUUGUGUUAGUGCUUGUUUGUUGGUGGUCGUUCAGACAAAUAUAAGUUGUCUACGUGAUUGAAGCAUGUUAGCGCCCUAUGCUUAGAUAUUCAGUGUGGAUUUAAAAACCAACUAUGGGUGCAUGAACUCAUUUCUUAGAGCCUGAACCAUUAUGACAAAUGAUUUAGGAAGUUGCUUCUAUCCAUUUUACUAUUGAAUUUCUGGAAUAAUAUAUAUCUGAUGUAGAACAGAACUUAGGGAUGUUGCAGGGGAGCCCCUGUAUAGUUCCAUGCUUCAGUUCAGGCACAUCUCUGUAAAUAUUGUGGUCGACAUGUUCUACUAGCCUUGCAUCGUUGAAGCAAUUUCUUGGGGUUACCUUAGGAGUAGAAACAAGCAGUUUGUUUGGAUGCCAAUUUUUUUUUUUUUUUUUUGCCAAAAAAUAUUUGCUUGCAUCACGAAAACAUUUUCCAACCACCUUUUUAUAUUCCCAACCAAUUUUCAUCUCACAUCCAUCACAUCAUAGAAAAUGCUAUUUUGUUAUUUCAAAUAAUGUCUUGUCCAAAUGCAUCUCAAGGUUUUUGGAAUAUCUUGCCUUUGAAAGGCAAUCAGAGAUUGGAUUGUUAGACUGGAUAUGUUAGCAUUAUGAUAUGAAAUUACUUUUCUGUUUAGACUAUUAGGAUAAGUGCAGACUAGAAACUUGCGCUAUUUUCCUUCUCCUAUACAUUCAUCAUUGCUCAUAAUCUUUUGGCUAGAUGUUCUUUGUGUAUUAUUGUAACUUUGAGCUGCAAAUUUGGAUUACUGUAUGUUGCAGGUAACUAAUGUUGGGAUAAAUACUGAAUGGGGCUUGCUGAUGGCUAGUAUUUCCGAAGACAAUGGUGAAGAAACACCACUACAGGUGUUUUCUUUGUUAGAUGUUAACAUGGUGUCUUCAUUUUGAUUGUAGCCAUGAUUUAAGCCUGACUAUAGUGUAUGAUACGUUCUUAGGUGCGGUUAAAUGGUGUUGCAACAUUCAUUGGUAUAGUUGGUCUUGCUGUAGCUGCAAUUGUUCUCAUUGUCCUUUUCAUCAGGUUGGUUUACACUUGUGUGAUUGUUUUCUGUUUGUCCUCUUAAUCUACCUUGAAAUCAUGUUUUAUCUUCUGCAACUUAAAAUUUGAAUUUCGUUUUAUUCUCUUAAUCUACCUCACAAUCAUGUUUAUAUUCUGCAGCUUACAAUAUUGUGUUGUUGUUGUAUAGAUUUUUUACUGGCCAUACUUAUAACGCUGAUGGAAGUCGCCAGUUUAAAGCUGGGAGAACUAAAGCUAGUACAGCUAUAGAUGGAGCCAUCAAGAUUUUUACUGUUGCAGUAUGUACUCUGCUCAUUUAAUUUCCUCUUUAGUUGUCUAAGUUUGAAUAUGCCAAUUUCAAGUUUUUGACUAAUAUUGGAAGGACCUGUAGGUGACCAUUGUGGUAGUUGCUGUGCCAGAAGGGCUUCCUUUAGCUGUGACUUUAACGUAAGUUUGAAUCACGAUUCCUACCCUCGAUUUCAACCACUCUUUCUCUUCUCAGUCCAAUGAUAUGCAAUGCUGCUAGUCGUAUAUGUGCAUGAUGUUCAUGUCCAGUAAGUGCUGUCAUUAGGCAUUUGUUGUUUAACUGGUUAGUUCCUCACGAUUUACUGGUUUUUCUUGCUUAAAUUUAGGCAUUUUUCUAUUCCCACUAUAUGCUUUUUAUCUUUUAUCUCAUCUCAGUCCAUUUGAACCUGCUUCAGUUGAUCUGAUCAAAUAGCAUGGGUGGCCUUGGCAACAAAUGCAUGUGCAAAUGCAUGUGUAUAUUUGCAUUACAUGCCGAUAUACUUGUAAUUCAAUCAUUUUCUAAACUUUGGGAUCUAAAAUUUUCCUGUAGGCUUGCUUAUUCAAUGAGAAAAAUGAUGAGGGACAAGGCCUUGGUAAGUAAAUAUUAUCUCCCUUCUGGCUGUUUUCAUGGACUUUGAUUAGCUUUGUCUUUUACUUAGUUACAUUGGGAGAUAGUUGUAUAAAGGGGUGCCUGCUACUGUUUGGAUUACACACUCUUGAUUAAAAUGUAGGUAAGGAGGCUUUCAGCUUGCGAGACAAUGGGCUCUGCUACCACCAUCUGCAGUGACAAAACAGGAACCUUGACUUUGAAUCAGGUCAAUUUACACUAUCCACCUUCUGCUAAUUUUCUUGUUGUCAUAUCAGGUCAAUUUUCUUCUUGUUUAUCUUCCUGGACUCUUUCCAUGUCCUCUAGUUAUCACUGUCCUUUUGUGUUUAUUGUUGUCCUUGGGUUUCAGUACCUCUUGGUGGGAUUUUCUCCUUUUCUGCUGUGUCUGUAAUUUUCAGUACCUAUUGGCAGGUCUGGAUCAUAGAGAAAGAUUUAGAAUUUCUGUCUUCUCGUAUGGAUCACAAUUCUUUUCUAAUCUACAGAUGACUGUGGUUGAGGCCUAUGUUGGUGGGAAAAAGGUUGAUCCACCUGACGAUAAGUCACUUUUGCCUCCUAAACUUACUUCUCUUCUUACUGAAGGCAUUGCACAGAAUUCUACUGGCAGUGUGUUCUUGCCUGAGGUAGGUCAAUAAUUUGAUUGAUAUAAAAUUGUCAUUUGGUACACAACUUUUUUUUCCAUGGAGUUCUUGUAUCAUGCUUUUCUCUGCAUACAUGAUUAAUAGGAUCAGUGGCUAAAAGUAGACCAUUAUAAUUGAGCACGAAAUCUAUUAGUUGCUACAGCUUUAAUCCCUGGAAAAGCUGAGAAACCCUGAUCAUGUGCUGGACCGGGAUAUAAGAUUUUGCAUGUAGGAUGUAAACUUAAAGCAUUUAGAUCAGCUGAGCUUUGUAAAACAUCCAUCUUCUUUGAUUUUCCCUUGCCUUUUGGGAGGCUUUGACUUCUUGUGACAGCUAGGAAAGGAACCCGAAUUAGUUAUGAAGAUUAUAGAACAUAUCAAUUUGAGCCAAUUUUCCAAGGGAACACCUUCUCUCCAAAGUAUUUACUUUGUUUGAAGCGUCAAAAAAGAAAUUUGUCUAUAUUGUGAAGACUUGUCUUGGUUUUGGUAGUGAUUACUUUUCCCUUCUUGUUGACUCCCAAGGAUGUCCUGUUUUAUGUGAAGCUUUUGUGUUUAUAUAAUUAAAUGAGGAAGUAAAAAAUAUUAACUGAUUCUGAUGGUUAACACAGGGUGGUGGAGAUGCAGAGGUCUCUGGUUCACCAACAGAAAAGGCUAUUCUUCAAUGGGGAUUAAAUGUAAUUCUCCAAUCUUAUUCUGGCUGUUAAUUACCAUUCUUUUCUUAUUCUCCUAUUUGGUCAGAAUAUUGGUUUUAUUAAUAGAUUGCCUUUUUGUAGCUUGGGAUGAACUUUGACGUUAUUAGAUCAAGUUCAUCAAUCAUCCAUGCUUUUCCAUUCAACUCAGAGAAAAAGCGAGGAGGUGUUGCUGUGAAACUGGUAAUGAGAAAUUCCGCCACAAAAUUCUGAUACUUGCUUAACGUGCCACACUAAUUUACUUUCUUGUGAUUCUGUUUCAAGGUCUUUUGCUUAGCAUUCUUAACUGUUAAGGAUUAAAUUGUGGAUAUAAAAAGUUGAAUAUAAUGUAAGAUUGUUAAUUUUGCAGAAUUUUGGUCAUCACACUCCUGUGUUUUUGUUAUUUAUGCAGCCAGAUUCUGACAUUCAUGUUCAUUGGAAAGGAGCUGCUGAGAUUGUGCUUGCUUCAUGCACUGCUUAUAUGGAUGAAAAUGAUGGCAUCCAACCGAUUGAAGAAAAGGUCUGACAAAAUCAUUCAUUUUUUUUAUUCUUUUUCUUCACACACUUGCAAUUCUGUUAUUCUUUAUCUGUUGUAUAGUUUUUUGUUUUCUAAGUCUGCUGUGACAUUCAUUUAAAAUGACUAAUUUUUAACCAUCCUCCAUGUAUUGAUGUUGAAUAUCCUGAUUAAAUUGAAAGCUUAUGCAUUUGAGCAUAACUUUUUAAACCUCUGGUUCAAACUAGUUAUCCUAUUUCUUUUGAUUUUUUGUAUCUCUCUCUUUCUGUGUGUAUCUACAGGUGUUAGAUUUUAAGACAGCAAUUGAGGAUAUGGCUGCUAGAAGUUUACGUUGUGUUGCUAUUGCAUAUCGCCAUCAUGAAGGCAAGGAUGUUCCAACAAAUGAGGAGGAACUCAGUAAUUGGCAGUUACCUGAGGGGCAGCUUGUCUUGCUUGCUAUUGUUGGUAUCAAGGUACUCUCGCGGUCCUAUUUUUGUGGGCCAGAUAUUGUUUGCUAGCUGUCAGAAGGAAAUUGUUCAGCACCAAUAGUCUUAGAUUAUUGAUCGUCAAGUUUCCAUAAAAUUCCUCCAUAAAGCUUUUUGACUGUAAAAAUGUUCAGUUCUGUUGGGAAGGUAAACCUGCUAUAUUUUGUCAAAAGUGACUGGUGGAUUAUAUGUGCUCCUCUUUUAAGUGUGCCUGGUCAAAGUUGGAAAGGAAAAUGAUGUGAGGGGACUACUUGUUAUCAUUUUUAAACUUGUAUUGGAAAAUGCUGGUCAUUUUUUAAUGUUUCAAAUGUUGGACACUAUUAAGACUUACUUCCCAUUUUGCAAAAAUUCUUAUAUUGCCUUUGUCGUUUGGGCAAAAUGUGCACUAAAUGAUUGUUUCACUGUCUGGAUUUGCUGCAUUUUGUCUUCUUGCCCUUCACUUCUAAAGUUACUUUUAAGUUGGAUCAUAAAGUUUGUGGUAGACAUUAAUCUGCACUGAUGUUAUAAUGCUCAAUGUCCAAUUAUUCAUAUAUAACUUCUUGUGUGAAAAUUAUGCAAUUACCUUUUUUGUUUGAUAGACCACUAGAUUCCUUUCCUGUACUUGUCUUUUAGGCUUGGAAGCAAUUAUUGCCUGCCAGUAUUCUUGCUUAAGACAUGCUUCUGUUUGCCCAUUAUUUCACGCUUGUCUGACCCAGGCUUUGGGUCUAAUGAAUGGUUUCAGCUCUCUGGUUGCCCAGCUAGAAGUUGAAUACUUGUUCCAUUUAUAGUGGAGCAUUUCCAUGCCUUGUCUAUUUUAGUUGAGCUCAUAUAUUUUUUCCAAGAAUAUCUAAUGCUUAUAAUGUAUAUACAUAUUUUGGCUUAAUAUUUUCAUUUUAUGAUAACCAAGAAUCUAAGGGUUCGUUUGGGAGUGGAGGAGUUGGAUAGAAAAGAAAGGGAAAGAAGAGAAAGUUUACUUUUGCUUCAUUGGUUAGUUUGAAGUAGGAAAGAAAAGAAAGGAAACGGAAAGAUGAAUAGUUAUCAAAAUGCUUCCUCCCAAAUCGGAAGGAAAUGGGAAGAAAGUUUGGAGAAAGCUUGAUAAUUUUUUUAAAAUGCCUAUUUUGUCCUUAAAAAGGUUUUAAACAAAUGUUUAAUGACUUCUAUGUCCAAAAUCAUUCCACUAAUUCUCAAAACUCCCAAACAAUAUAACAAUCUCUUCUCUUCUCUUCUCUUCUCUCAUAACUUAAGCUUUCCCUUCUUUUCUUUUCUAUCCUAAACUCCCAAAUUAAGCCUAAACUUCGGCUUUUCCAAAUGUUUCGAAUUAUAGCUCAAUAAUGAAACUUGCUCAAGCUCAAGCUAAGGCAAUUGAAUUGGGUUAGAGCCAAGUGCUUAAUUGUUUGUCUUUUAUUGUUUUUCUAGCAGUCCUAUCUGAUGGUCCUAUCAUGUGGACACACAAAAGGAAACUUUGUUCUCUUAAACACCUGUUUCCCAUCCCCCAUCCUUUCCACAUCCUCUCUGUCCCAGCUGAUUAUACUGGUUGUUCUUGACAAAGAUGCUUUGGAUUCUGUUGUACUUCCUCCUGUGUUUCUGCUUGCUCAUUUAGGCCAGUGGUUUUCAUUUUUUUUUCCUAAUUUGAUUUUCUUAUUCCCUUUUUAUUGUUUUGCAUUUCUUGGAAACUUGAUAUUGUUUGGGGUGGUAUGGAGACUGGAUUCUUGUCUAUAGGGUAAAUCUAAGGAAUACUAAAUUUUUUCCCAGUUCAUGUCUUCUUCAUUUGGGAGUCUGUAUGUUCCAGUGCAGUCUCGUCAUUUCUUCAGCUUGAGUUUGCCCACCAUGGUUCUUAAUAUGUCACUGAUGGUAUGCAUAUUUUGAUACAGGAUCCUUGCCGGCCAGGUGUUAGAGAUGCUGUCCAGCUUUGCAAAAAUGCUGGUGUUAAGGUGUAUAACUUUUCCUAUUUUUUAUCUAUUUAAGAGUGUGUGAAUUGGAUGAUCAUGGGCUAUUAGACCAACAUACCUGUUAACUGAUAGGGCAUUAUUCUUAGUUUUUUGGUCAAUGUAAAGGCUGAUAUAACUUUUACUUUCACUGAUCAUGUACUUCAUGUCCUACUUGACCUCACAACUUAACAUUGAAUUUUAUUUGUGUUAAUGGUGUACUUUCUUUCACAUUUAAAUCUGUAUUAGACGUUUUUGCAAGUUUGAACCCCUAUCACUCAAGAAAUUCCUUUUUUCCUGUGUAGUCUGUUUUUGCAUGUAGACCUUGUUGAGGCAACUUAUCACCUAAAUUUAGACUGGAAAUUUUUAUUUGUCCUACCUGGAAUAUGCUUGAAUAUCCUAGUCAUUUUUUUGGUAUUCUUAGAGAUUUAUGUCUCGGCAGUGUUUACUGCAGAGUUUGCAUACUUCCAUGAAAAAGCUUCAAUGUUUCUCAGAAAGCAUAUUUCAGCCUUUGCAUUAUCUUUAUUGAUUCUCCUCUUUUUGCUGAAAAUGAAGUUGCUGGGCAUCAUCAUCUAGUUGUAGUGGAUGAUUGUUUGAGUUUGUCUUAAAUGUGUGAUCAUACAUUUAAACCGCAUCUUUGUACUCAGCACAAAAAAGUCCCUAGACCGUCCUGUUUGAACGGGUCAAGUUGGGCCACGUCUUCACCGCUUAUGUUUUGAAAUAUCUUCACCAAUACAUGCAGAUUCAUCCUGUCUUCAUUAAUACUACUGAUUACUUGCCAGCUUCCUUUGGCUUAGUGUUGAUGGCAAUACUGUCCAAGUUUUAGUUUUGGCAAAAGUUUAGCUAGAAAGUUCCUUCCUGCUAAAGGGUGAUACUGUAUUAUUACAUAAGCUAAAAUAGAAGAACAUGCAUGCAUUGGACAACUGUGCUUGCAAUCUUAUGCGAUAGUAAUAUUUCAGUGUCAAACUAUAAAAUUGUUGUCUCUAUACAUCUAUUCUUUUCAAUGUUAUUUGAAAAGAUCAAAAAAGAAAAACAAAAAGAACCUGCCAGAUGGUAAAUUUGCAACUCCCUUUUCCUAAAGCUUUCCAGCACUUGGUGAUUGUGAGCAGUUGGUCUUGGAUUUUCGGACAUUUUACUUUUGAAUGUGCUGUGUUAACCGGCACUAAUGUGCCAAGAGCUGUAUAUUUAGUUUGAAUUUUUCUUAUGAUUUUGUUAUGUUGUCUGUCAGGUAGUGACUAUGCUAGUUUGUUUUGUUGAAUAUUUUUGGUAAACCAUGAACUUUGGAUAACUUCCUUCACUUCUCCAGUUUUCUUUCCUGAAUACAACUUUUUGUUUUCGGCAUAAUAUUUAGGGUUUUUUUUUUUGCUCAAGAAUGUUUAUGCUUCAUUAAGAUGGGCAAAAAUGCAGAGGCAUUCUGAUUUGUCUUGGAAGUUGUUAUCUGGUGGAUUUCUCACCAUCAUGAUUAACUCUCCUGGAAUUCCUAGGUACGCAUGGUCACUGGUGACAAUCUCAACACUGCUCGAGCAAUUGCUUUAGAAUGUGGGAUACUAAAGUCUGAUGCUGAUGCUGAUGCUACUGAGCCAAAUCUGAUUAUUGAGGGAAAGGCAUUCCGUGCCUUGUCUGAAGAACGAAGACGAGAAGUUGCUGAGAAGAUAUCUGUAAGAUAUGUGUAUUAAAUAGCAUCUAAAAUUAAUUGGCCGCACCUGCAUAAAUGGAUUUAGGAAAGUUGUUCAUUGGAUUAAUUCAAUUUGAUGCGUAGGUAAUGGGAAGAUCAUCCCCCAAUGACAAACUUUUACUUGUGCAAGCAUUGAGGAAGAAGCAUGUAGUUGCUGUAACCGGAGAUGGCACUAAUGAUGCUCCUGCAUUACAUGAGGUUUGCUUAUUCUGUGGCUGGUGGUAGAAAGUCUAUCAACAUGUCCUAUGACUUGAGUCUCCUGCAUUACAUCAUGUUUUGUGUACUCUGUUACCCUGUCAUUGAGUGGGAGUAGUUUUUUAGUUUAUAUGCAGCAUAGGGAUCAGUUUAUAUGCAGCAUAGGGAUCAGAUCCUCAAUGUGGGUUUUUGCUGCUGUAUUUUUUGAGGAAGGGGGGAUUGGUGGUGAAAUGUACUUGAUUAUAAGGAAUGGUACAUCUGGGAGCCCAAGCAUAGUAAAUUUAGUGGGGCUUUUGAAAGUGCAGUGGAAUUGGUUGAUGGGACUUCCACUGCCAGGUUAUUUUGGCAUUACCGUUCUACUUGUUCUUCGCACCUCCCUAUUUAAUGUAAAGGCCUUUGUUCUCAACUGAUUUUAGAUUCUGAUUUUGAAAAAGUUAUUUUAUUGUGUUCUCAACUGUUUUUCAUGUUAUGAUUUUGGAUUUUUGGGGCCAAAAAAGCUGCAAAAUCAGAAGCAUCUAUUCUGGUGCUGAUUUUGACUUUUAAAAUCAGCUUUUACACAAUCAUAAGCAGUUGAAAAAUAAGGCCAAAGAGCAUUCGUUGGGUGCUUGGUUUUAAUAUUGUCUGUGAGAAUGGAACCGUUCUCAAGAGUAAUUAUGGCCUUCAUUUUCUUACAUUGUAGGCCGACAUUGGUCUUGCCAUGGGCAUCCAAGGAACUGAAGUUGCCAAAGAGAGUUCAGACAUCAUUAUACUGGAUGACGACUUUGCUUCUGUGGUAAAGGUGAGGCUACUUUAGUAGUUUGAAAAUGCAAAUAGAUGUUCUUUACAUUUUUGUUACCUUUUGGCUUGAACUUUCCUGUUUAUGUCCUUUUGUUUUAUUCAAACAAGUUCAUGAUUCUAUAAUUGAGCUCUGUUGAAAAGUAGGAUAAAUUAUGCAUGGCUUGAAAGUCGAAAGAACGUUGUCUUGUCAUCAUUAACUUUUAGAACUACUUAUUUUGUUUAGAUCCUGAUUUCUGCUUUUCUGUUGACUGCAGGUGGUCCGGUGGGGUAGAUCUGUUUAUGCCAACAUUCAGAAAUUUAUUCAGUUCCAGCUCACAGUAAAUGUUGCAGCUCUAAUAAUUAAUGUUGUUGCUGCUGUUUCUGCUGGUGAUGUCCCGCUGAAUGCUGUGCAGGUUUAGAUCCUUCUCUGUAUCUCCUCCCCUCGAUCUCACUCGAUAACAGGACGAAAAUAGAAAAUCACUAACAUGCAUGAAAAAGGAAAAGAUCUGAGUCAGUACCUUAUGUCUUCGAGUGUGUACCCUUGCAUCAGAGCAGGUGUUCGUACUGGUAUUUGUGCGCAUAAGCUUGUAUGCCAAUAUUAACUUGUUACGUUAUUUGAUUUGUAUAUUGAUUCGCUUAUGCAGCUUCUCUGGGUGAAUCUUAUCAUGGAUACUCUUGGUGCACUUGCGCUGGCAACUGAACCACCCACGGAUCAUCUCAUGACCAGACCUCCAGUUCGUCGAAGGUUAGUUUUACUAAAGAAUGACAAGAAAGUAUUCCAAGUAUGCCUUUUGCAGCAGUUGUCUUUUUCAAUAAUUCUGUGUCUUUUUUGGGGGUAAAUUUCUGAUUUUGUCAAACCGGGGUAGUAAGAUGCAUAAUCAUUUAUAGAGGUUUAAUUUUUGCUCAUUCUUGUUUGGUCGUGGAACUGAUUUUUUGGUUGAGCUUGGGGUUUGGCUCAAAUAGGCUUGCUUGAGUGUGUUCAUUUAUGAAUGAACUAAGCUUAACACAUGACAUGAUGUUAGUUUAUAUUAAAGCAGGCCAAGCCAAGCUGAACUUGUGCUUGAACAACUAGUUUCCUUCAUGAGCUGAGCUUUAAAUACAUUCAUAUGGUUUUGAAGCUUGGGUUAAACAUUAAUCAAGCCAAGCAUGAAAUUGAAAAGGCUUGGCUCAUCUGGGUCUUAAUGUAGCUUUGAUAGCAGGAUGCCAUGGUAUUUGUUAGAUUUUAAGAAUUUGGAAGCAAGAUUAUAUUAUUUGUCUUAUUAGUUACUACUGCAUUGUUGUUAUCUUGACUGACUACUCAAGAAACAGUUAUUUCUUUAAACUGACUUUAUUACAAAAUGAAUGCUGAUUGUAUAUUUCCUACUGUUAGGGAGCCUCUCGUAACCAAUAUAAUGUGGAGGAACUUGUUGAUUCAGGUAUUCACGAUUUGUUUGGAACUGCUCUGAGCUCUCAGAAUUGCUUGAAAGUGGAAAGGAAUGAGUUUCCCUGUCUGUAAUUUGUCUAACAAGAGCUUUUGAUGUCCUUGGAAAAUGACAGGCUCUUUAUCAAGUGACAGUCCUUCUGAUCCUGAAUUUCCGUGGCAAAAGUAUCCUCCAUCUGGAGCAUGACAAUGCUGAUCAUGCUAAUAAAGUCAAGAAUACGCUGAUAUUCAAUGCUUUUGUCCUUUGUCAGGUAAUUCAUCAUUCUAAUGACUGGGAUUGAAUAGAAUUUGGAUACUGUUGUAUAAUGCCAUGGUUUUAACUUGUUCUAUACAUACUUGUAUGCUUGUUUAGAUUAUAUCCUAUAAAGGUGCAAUUGCAUUCUGGAGUAUUUUGUUCAUCUGAUUUUGAAUGACCAACAUGGUUAGAAAUUUUGGUACAUGGUUUUGUGUUGCUUCUUGGGCCAAUGUGUAUGUAAUUAAAAUCGAAACUUGGUUCAAAUAGUUGGUGAAGCUUUUGCAUGCAACUAAACAGUAAACGUGAGGCAUGUUGUUCUUGAUUGCACAUUUGUCUCCCUUGUUAUGUCUCUUGCGUGCUUGAUGUCAAGAUCUCUCACUUUUACUCACUUGAAGGUUUAAAACCUGUUUUUCCAAUUAGUCUGAUGCAGAAUGUUUACAGUAAGGAGGCUAAAGCUUAGAACUUUUCGUGAUUGACUGAAAAUUUCCAUUAAGGAAUAAAGAAUGUAAUGCUGUCUGUUAGAAGUUUGCCAAUAUUUUAGGUAUGAUUGUGCAAAUUAUAGGUUUUUGUAUUCUUGGGUGCUUUUUGGGUUGUUUCUUUGCCUAAACUUCUUAAAAUAUUGCUUAUUAAAUGCUACAUGCGGCUGUCUAUUUCAAUCUGAUACUCUGGUUUAUUUCCUCUCACUGAGUACCUGAAUGAGCUUGUCAUUCAAAUCACAGGUUUUUAAUGAAUUUAAUGCUCGAAAACCUGAUGAGAUCAACGUUUUCAAAGGAGUCACUAAGAACCAUCUCUUCAUGGGAAUAAUUGGGCUUACAGUGGUUCUUCAGGUAUCAUGUUUAUCCUUUCUUUUAAUUGAGAUGUGCACCAUAUAGUGUCAUACUUCUUAUGUAUCGCUCUUCUAUAGGUUGUUAUGAUCUUCUUUCUCGGUAAAUUCACUUCCACGGUUAGACUCAGUUGGAAAUUGUGGCUUGUGUCCAUAGCCAUCGGAUUGAUCAGGUCAGAGAGAUGUUACUAUGAAUUGUUGGAUACAUUAGGCUUGCAUAUAAUUAAUUGAGUCUAUAUGUGUGGUGUGUUUGAUUCUGUUGUUGGUGACUUGCUGUAUAAAAUCCCUUCAAACUAUGUGGAGUGGAUUCUCUUCUCCCUACAAAUAUGCUGAGUUUACUUGAUAUUGUUCGUUUUCCUUGUUAUAUUUGACCACAGCUGGCCUCUUGCUGCUAUUGGGAAGUGGAUACCUGUCCCAGAGACUCCUCUAGGGGAACUUUUGACAGGAAAAAUACGGAAACAGAGAAAUGGAGGAGGAGGUAAUCUAAGUUCUUGCUCAAUAUUAAAAAAAAAAAAAAAGCUGACAUUUGAACUCGGUAUUCACAUUAAUCUGUUUUACUUCGUUUCUUCACAGAUUAAGUACAAGGGCUUAGGACAUAGUGAAGGUGUUUUUGUGUUCGAACUUCUCAACUGCAAGUACAGAAUACUUUGAAAGAGAGAUUUAGGGAUCUGACUUUAACCGACUUUAGCCAGCAAAUUCCACAGUUUCAGUUCUUUUUGAUGGAAUUCUCGCCUUAUUACUGAUGCCAAAGUUUGUUGUUUUGGCUAAUAGUCGCUGUAAAUGUACACACAGACCGGUGUUUUUAAAAUGGGACUGGAUCGACCGGUUGAACUGGAAUCGAGCAUGAAACCUAUCCCAUUGUAAAGCCGGCCGGAAAUAGUAAUUUACCCUCAAAAGUGGUAAACCAGCCGAACCAACGGAGUCCGGUUCUCAAUUGGUAUUGAAAUUUGCCAAAAAAAGCCAUAGUUUUCACUGGUGUCUAGGUUCGAACUUGGUACAUGGUGCACGAGAGUAUACGGAAGUAGCCAUUGUACUGCAAGCACGAUUGGAAAUUGUUUAGCACUUAGGGUCCAUUUGUUUCGGGUGAAAAUGUUUUCCAGGAAAAUAUUUUUCUAAUUUCCUGUGUUUGGUUGCACAAAAGUUAAUGAAAACAUUUUCUUAUGUAAAAUAUUUUCAUUCAUCUUAUGGAAAAUAACUUCCCUUCCAAAUCAUUUUCUUAUGUAAAAUAUUUUCAUUCAUCUUAUGGAAAACAACUUCCCUUCUAAGUUUACUGAAGUUGUUUUUCGAAAUGCAUGCAUUUCGCCUGUAAUAUGUUUCAAACUUAUUGAAAACAUCUUGUAGUAUGUUUUUUUUAUAGUGUAAACAGGAGGACUCGAACCCAAGAUCUCUUUUUUACACGCCCUUCUCCGUACCAUCCAAUUCAACCCAACCUUCUUCCUAGUAUAUUCAAAAAAAAAAAAAAAUUCAUCUUAUGUUAGUAAUUAAUUAUGUAUAAUAGGGACCUUCUUUUCUAGAGAAACUUUCAGCAAUGAGAGUGCAAGAUAUAUGUCACAAUAAAUAUUGUAUGUGAUUGAUAUUUGACACUAAAUGAUCAGUAAUUUGUUUAUUGCUUAAGGAGAUUUUUUAUUCAGAUAUAUAUUUCUCCAAGAUUUUUUUAAGUUAAAUAAUGAGAUAAAUUUUCUUAUUUUGUAUGGGAAGAAGUAUAUAGUUAUAAUGUAUAGAAAGUAAAGAUAAAGAUAAAAGUGAAAAUAUUUCAAAAGUUAAACAAACACCAGAAAAAUGAAAUAAGAAAAUAUUUUCAAUAAGCUAACCAAACACCUGAAAAUGAUGAAAGGAAAAUGAUUUUCAUGGAAAAUUACUUUCACGGAAAAUAUUUUUCCAAGGAAAAUAUUUUAUUUCUAACUAAACAGACCCUUAAUUCUCUCUCUCUCUCUCUCUGAUAUCUGCAAAGGAAAAGAAAAAAAAAAAGAGAAACCCUCAAAUACUUGAAACAAACUCUUCCUCGAGCCCCCAGAUCUGCCGCCGUCUUCUCGUCUUCCUCACUCUGUAAUCUCCAUUCUCUCUCCAAAGCAAUUUCACUUGCAUGACUUUGAUUUCUGAUUUCCAAGGCUAAUAUAUUCAGUCUCCUCUAUAAACUAUUCUCCUCUCUCCAUUCUCGUGUAUAAUCACUCUUCACUCGUCUUUUUUUAUGGCCACCCUUUCUUUUGAUCACUUCUUUACUUCAAUCAUUUGAAGUUUUCUUUCUUGUGUGUAUUUUGAGAUUUUUUUUUGUUUUCUGGUUUGAAAAUUUCCUUUGUUUUUUGUACGAUGGUUUGAACUUUCUUUUUUUUGAUGGUUAGAAGAAGGUACAGUAAUCAAUUUUUACUCUUUUUUCAUUUUUCAUGACAGGAGAAUUUUUUUAGUAUAUGUAAAUGUUGUUUGGAAUAUAUUACUCAAAAUAAAGUUUAUCUUUUCAAUUAUACGAUCAAAAUUAUUAAAUUUAAACUUGAGCUAUAUAUUUAGGCGAUGAGGAUAAAGCAAAAGAAGUUGGGGAUUGGGAAUAUCUUUGUGGUAACAGUUAUCACUAAUUGCUUAGAAUAUAUGUAAAAAAAAAAAAACAUCGCACAAAUAUAUUUCUGACACACAUCAUUUCUUAUUCUAUACUUGUCGUGCUGACUGGGCACGGUCACAGAAUGAAUUGUCAGAAAUUCUGCAAAAAUGUCAGUGGGUAGCAGUCCAUAAUUUUUUUUUUUAAAAAUAGCCUGUCCUGAGCCGUGCUGACUUGGCACGGCUAGGGACAGGUGGGAAAAAAAAAGGGCCAGCAAAUGGGAUGUAUUUGGGGACAUGAAUUUUGUAGUAAAAGUGAAACGAAAGGCCAUACAAAUUCGCUGCACCAGCUGCCUUUUUUCUUUCUUUCACUCUUUUCUUUGCUCUUUAUUUCUUGGAAGAGAUAUCUAAACGAUUUUAUUGCACUAAUCCUAAUCAAAGAUUUUGGUUUUAUAACUUAAAGAUUUUGCUGUGGAGUCUUAUAACACUUAAGUUAGGAAGAUCAAAUUUUCAAAUUGGAAAUGGAAGAUUAUUAUAUUUUUCAAACUGCAAAUUAGUAUAAUUCUAUGUACAAUGAAAAUUCAAUGCUUGCUCAAAUUUUUUGACGAACAACAUGUGUAAGCUAAUAUAUGAAUAUUUAUAUGUAAAUUAAAUGCAGUUUAUACGCGACAAAAUUCAUGAAUAAGAAUCCAUAUAUGUAAAAUUAAUAUACAUUUUUUUAAAAUUUUUGCUAGUAAUUAGAUACAUUUGUGACUAAUUGGUAUUCAAAGCUAAAUUUUAAUCACUGAAAUGUAUGUACUAUCCGAAUUUGUAGAGACACAACUAUCCGACAGGUUGGCUGCCAUUGAGAUGCGAGGUACUGGAGAUAUUCCCAAUAGGGCUUCAAGUGCUCAGAGUGUUGAGCAUGAUGCAGAUGAUGAGGGGUAUCAUUCUAACACCUCAUUCCGAUCAAGGAAAAGCCACAGGGAAGCGAGAGAAGGUCGAGACCGACCUAGGAGAACCGAUGACAAUCUUGGUUCCAUCAAGACUAAGAUGCCUACCUUUCAUGGAAAAAAUGAUCCUGAAGCUUAUUUGGAUUGGGUUAGGCGAGUUGAGCAAGUGUUUGAAGUCCACAACUACUCUGAAGAGAAAAAGGUGAAACUUGCGGCUAUUGAAUUUGAAGAUUAUGCAUCCAUUUGGUGGGAGCAAGUAUGUGCCAUAAGAAGGAGAAAUAGGGAACCACCAAUUGACACUUGGGCUGAAAUGAAGCAAGUGAUGAGGAAGCGAUUUGUACCCUUCCAUUAUACCACGGACUUGUACAAUCGGCUCCAACGACUCACUCAAGGUUCUAAUUCGGUUGAUGAGUACCACAAACAAAUGGAGAUAGCGAUGAUAAGGGCCAAUGUCCAAGAGGAUCCGGAAGCAACCAUGGCAAGGUUCCUUAAUGGAUUAAAUCCUGAAAUUAGGAAGAAGGUUGAGCUUCAAGACCACUUUGAACUUCAACAAAUGGUGUCGUAUGCAGAGAAGGUGGCAAAGCAAGCCUUACCUCUAAAGACACCUAGUGGCCGAAUCACUACAUCCUCUUCCACCCCUUGGAAAAGAAAUCAAUUGCCAACAUCCAGUGCUUGGCCAAGGCAAGGUAAUAGAGAGAGGGAAAACAAGCGGAUGGAACAACCGUCCCAUCCGAGUGCAACUUCUUCUAAACCAACCCCGCGGCCGACUCUUCCAGGAGCAAAUACAUCUACCAACCAGCCAAAGGCAUGUUUCAAAUGCAAGGGAAUUGGCCAUCCUCAUGGCUCAAUGCCCUAACCGAAGCAUCAUGUAUAUGAAUGAAGAGGGAAUGUGGCAAAGCGAAGGGGAGGAGGAAUAUGCGGACAUGCCACCGCUUGAAGAAGAGGGAAAGGAUGAUGACCUGGUUGAAAUAGAAGAGGACCCCGUGGCUCGAACUAUGGUGACUAUGAGAGUGCUAAAUGCACAAGCUCAAGAAGAUGAUCUCCAACGGACCAACAUUUUUCAUACAAGAUGCAAAAUUGGAGAUGAGGUAUGUCUCAUGAUCAUUGAUAGUGGCUCUUGUACUAAUUGCGUAGCUGCUGACUUUGUUGAGCAAAAACACCUUCCAUGGACUUACCACCCUAAACCCUAUAGACUAUCUUGGUUAAAUGAUGGGGGGGAAGUCAAGGUGACCAAACAAGCUUUAAUCGCUUUUUCUAUUGGUCGGUACAAGGACCAAGUUUUAUGUGAUGUAAUUCCUAUGCAAGCUAGUCAUGUCUUGUUGGGACGUCCUUGGGAGUAUGAUAGACAGGCUGAUCAUAUUGGACUUACCAAUAAAUAUAAGUUCAUUAUGGACAACCUCAAAAUCACUCUUUCACCAUUGACACCUACACAAGUGUAUGAAGAACAAUUGCAUUUAAGAAAAGAGAGAGAGAAAAGGCAACCGAAAGAAACAAAGAAAAAGCCGAAUGAGAGAGAGAAUGAGGGAAAAAAGAAAGUAGAGGCCGAGUUGAGUGAAAAAGGAAAUUCGAGUGGAAAAAAACUCAGUGAGGCCGAGAGCUUGAAGGUGAAAAAAAGGAAUUUCUAUGCAAGUGUGCGUGAGGUAGAUAUGGCUUUGAAUGCACAAAGUCUUCUCGUAGUACUUCUGUACAGGGAAGCUGAUUAUUCUUCUUUUUACACACUAGGCAUAACCGAUUCUCUUCCUAGUGCAAUCUACUCUCUUUUGCAGGAAUUCAAGGAUGUGUUUCCGGAGGAACUACCGAAAGGAUUACCUCCAAUUCGAGGUAUUGAACAUCAAAUCGACUUUGUUCCUGGAGCAAUUCUACCAAAUCGACCAGCCUAUAGAGCAAAUCCGGAGGAAACAAAGGAAAUCCAAAGGCAAGUCGAUUCCCUCCUUGAAAAGGACCAGGUUCGUGAAUCUCUUAGUCCUUGUGCAGUUCCCGUUAUUUUAGUACCUAAGAAAGAAGGGACUUGGAGAAUGUGUACAGAUUGUCGUGCAAUUAAUAAAAUUACUGUUAAGUAUCGUCAUCCCAUUCCUAGGCUAGACGAUAUGUUAGAAGAAUUGCAUGGAGCAAUCAUUUUCACUAAAAUUGACUUAAGAUCUGGUUAUCAUCAAAUAAGGAUAAAGGAAGGUGACGAAUGGAAAACUGCUUUCAAAACGAAGUAUGGUCUUUAUGAGUGGCUUGUGAUGCCUUUCGGCUUAACAAACGCCCCAAGUACUUUCAUGAGAUUAAUGAACCAUGUUUUAAGGCAUUUUCUUGGAAAGUUCGUUGUUGUUUAUUUUGAUGAUAUAUUGAUCUUUAGCAAGUCUUUAGAAGAGCAUGUUGAGCAUUUGCGACUUGUUUUAAGUGCCUUGCGUGAAAAUAGGUUAUUUGCUAACCUGGAAAAAUGUGUCUUUUGCACUCCUGAGGUUAACUUUCUUGGUUAUAUUGUUGGUGCAAAUGGCAUAAGUGUUGAUCCCGCCAAGGUAAAGGCUAUCAUGGAGUGGCCGACUCCAACCAAUGUGUCUCAGGUAAGGUCUUUUCAUGGUCUUGCAAGCUUCUAUAGGAGAUUUGUUAAAGACUUUAGCACUAUUGCAGCACCUUUGAAUGAGAUAGUUAAAAAGAAUGUGGGGUUUCAAUGGGGAAAAGAGCAAGAAGAGUCGUUUAAUAAGCUUAAAAAUUUGUUAACUUCAGCACCUAUUCUUGCUUUGCCUAAUUUUGAUUUGAUGUUUGAAGUUGAAUGUGAUGCUAGUGGGAUUGGCAUCGGGGCUGUUUUACAUCAAAAUAAUAGGCCCUUGGCAUAUUUCAGUGAGAAGUUGAGUGGGGGAGCUCUUAAUUACCCUACUUAUGAUAAAGAAUUGUAUGCUGUUGUGCGUGCUCUUGAAGUGUGGCAGCAUUAUCUUAUGCCUAAGGAAUUUGUGAUACAUACUGAUCAUGAAUCAAUUAAAUUCCUUAAGGGGCAGGGUAAGUUGCAUAAAAGACAUGCGAAAUGGAUUGCAUUUAUUGAUUCCUUUCCAUAUAUCAUUAAGUAUAAGAAGGGAAAAGAUAAUGUCGUUGCGGAUGCAUUGUCUAGAAGGUAUAUUUUGAUCACUAACCUGAGCACUAAGUUACUUGGUUUUGAGCACAUUAAAGACUUGUAUGCACAUGAUGCUGAUUUUUCUAAUGUGUUUCAAGCUUGUGAACAUGCUGCAUUUCAAAAGUUUUAUAGGCAUGAAGGCUUCUUGUUCAAAGAAAAUCGCCUAUGUAUUCCCAACUGUUCACUUAGGGAAUUACUUGUUAGAGAAGCCCAUGGCGGAGGGUUGAUGGGGCAUUUCGGUAUUGAUAAAACUCUUGACAUUUUGCAUGAGCAUUUCUAUUGGCCUAAAAUGAGGCGUGACAUUGCUAACAUUUGUGAUAAGUGUUUAAAGUGUAAGCAGGCAAAGUCAAGGAGUAACCCUCAUGGAUUGUAUACUCCUCUACCCGUACCUCAUGCUCCUUGGACAGACAUAUCCAUGGAUUUUGUGCUUGGUUUACCAAGAUCUUCUACAGGUAUGGAUAGUAUCUUUGUUGUAGUGGAUAGAUUUUCUAAAAUGGCUCAUUUUAUCCCUUGUAGGAAAACAAAUGAUGCGCGCCAUGUUGCUGAUUUAUUCUUCAAGAAUGUGGUUAGAUUGCAUGGAGUACCGCGUACUAUUGUAAGUGAUAGGGAUGUGAAAUUCUUAAGCUAUUUCUGAAAAUCACUUUGGGAAAAGUUGGGAACUAAAUUGCUGUUUUCUACUUCUAGUCAUCCCCAAACGGAUGGUCAGACUGAGGUAACCAAUCGAACCCUUGGUGCUCUACUUCGAGCCAUUGUUCAAAAGAACUUGAAGAAGUGGGAAGAAUGUUUGCCUAUUGCCGAGUUUGCAUAUAACCGAACCACUCAUUCUACUACCAAUCAUUCCCCUUUUGAAAUUGUUUAUGGGUUUCAGCCGCUAACCCCUCUAGAUUUAUCACCUAUUCCUGUUAAUGAGUGUUUAAGCGCAGAUGGUGUCAAAAAGGCAGAAGCUGUUCGAACCUUGCAUGAGAGAGUUCGAGCUCAAAUUGAGAAGAAAAAUGCGCAAAAUGCACAACAUGCAAAUAAGGGUAGAAAACAUGUUGUAUUCGAACCCGGUGAUUGGGUUUGGGUGCACAUGAGGAAGGAAAGGUUUCCAGCAUCUCGACGGACCAAGUUACAUCCAAGAGGCGACGGACCUUUUCGAGUACUAGAGAGGAUCAACGACAAUGCAUACAAAUUGGAACUUCCAAGUGAGUAUGGCAUAAGCACAUCUUUUAAUGUAUCUGACCUAUCUCCUUUUGGCUUUGAUACAGACUUUGAAGAUUCGAGGACGAAUCCUUUCGAGGAGGGAGGGAAUGAUGCAGAUACGGGUGCGCAACAACUUCAACCUUGGGUCAAGGACAACAUUGACGGUCCGAUGACAAGAUCAAGAUCCAAGAAGGUGAAGGAAGCUUUACAAGCCUUGAUCAUUCACCAUACAAGCAAGGAGGAAGUUAGGUUUGAAGAUUUGAUGGAUCAUGACGUUACCUUGUUCACUUGUACGUUUGAAGUGAAGGAAUGAUCUCAUACUUGUUAGUUUAGUUGGUAGUUAUUUUAAGACUGUCUAGUUUAGUAGUUGUUAGGCGUUAAGUAUUUUAUUACUUAUUGGGCCUUAUCGGAAAGUUUUAAAGAGCUGACUCUUUAAGCCCUUUAUGCGGACCAAAUUUCUUUCAGGUUUAUGUGGGCCGGAUUUUUGCCCUAGUUUAGCCUAUAAAAAAGGCACCUCUUGUAUGAGGACGGACAGAAUAUUUUACAACCAAAAAUCGUGAGAAAUUUUCCUUCAAGUUCUUAAUCGAACUUACUCUUGAAUUCUUGAGUUUAUGGCUUAGGAUUCAAAUCAGACUUUAUCGAUUAGCUUGUUCCCUAAUCGUGGUGUCGCUUCAUCCAUCCUUAUUUGCUUAAGGUUGCUGAUUACCUUUGUGUGUCAGAGGUCUUGAGUUCAUGAGAACAAUCGAGUUCAAUUUCUGUUGGGAGAAAAGAUCCAACUCUGAUAAUUACAAGGUUGGGAGGUUCUAGGAGGGUCUGCCCCUAGGGUUGCCUUAUCAGUAAGUGUCAAUAUAUUCGAACUCAAGACAAUUGUAUAAUGUAAAUGUUAAUAUAGGUAAUUAUAUAUUUACAUACAUUUCAGUGAUUAAAAUUUAGCUUUGAAUACCAAUUAGUCACAAAUGUAUCUAAUUACUAGCAAAAUUUUAAAAAAUGUAUAUUAAUUUUACAUAUAUGGAUUCUUAUUCAUGAAUUUUGUCGCGUAUAAACUGCAUUUAAUUUACAUAUAAAUAUUCAUAUAUUAGCUAACACAUGUUGUUCGUCAAAAAAAUUUGAGCAAGCAUUGGAUUUUCAUUGUACAUAGAAUUAUAAUAAUUUGCAAUUUGAAAAAUAUAAUAAUCUUCCAUUUCCACUUUGAAAAUUUGAUCUUCCUAACUUAAGUGUUAUAAGACUCCACAACAAAAUCUUUAAGUUAUAAAACCAAAAUCUUUGAUUAGGAUUAGUGCAAUAAAAUCGUUUAGAUAUCUCUUCCAAGAAAUAAAGAGCAAAGAAAAGAGUGAAAGAAAGAAAGAGGGCAGCUAGUGCAGUGAAUUUGUAUGGCCUUUCGUUUCACUUUUGCUACAAAAUUCAUGUUCCCAAAUACAUCCCAUUUGCUGGCCCUUUUUCUUUUCCUGCUUGUCCCCAGCCGUGCCCAAUUAGUACGGCUCGGGACAGACUAAUUAAAAAAAAAAUUGUGGGCCGCUGACUCACUGACAUUUUUGCAGAGUUUUUGACAAUUCGUUCUGCGGUCGUGCCCAAUCAGCACGGCAAGUAUAAAAUGAAAAAUGGUGUGUGUCAGAGAUACAUUUGUGCGAUGUUUUUUUUUUUUAACAUAUAUUCUAAGCAAUUAGCCCGUAAUCAUUAGUCACCAUGGAUCAUCACUAAUUUUUUCAGAUUUUUUAUUUAAAAAAGUGAACUGGUGACUUGGCCAGUUGAACCAUUGAGCUGGAAAAGGGAAUUGGUAACUCGAUCGGGUCAGUCCAUGGAUUGUACGCACUGAGCUGCUCCAUGUGGGAGAGUUAAUAUACCAUGUUAAGUGCAAUUAUACACAUUUUGCUGUCUGAAUUUGGUGGAGGAUUUUUUGGAUUCUUAUAUGAAGCGAUGGUUGUUCUAGUUUUACUUUCUUUUUUUUUUCCUUUUAAUUUUUAGAUUAAUCUGUUAUACACUAACAGUGUGUACACUGUUAAUUUUAGAUGAAUGACAACUAAUGUAGAUUUGAACUUGAAAUUUAAAUUUUGAAUAUGUGUAAUACAUUCAGCGGUGAUGAUGCCUACAAUGUCAGUGUAUGUGAGAUUUACACUUACUUUUUAUGCCUGUUGAACAAGUGUAGGGGUAUUGUAUAGCUCUACUGGUAUCAUCAUCCCAUUGGCCAAUGAUCCAGAAAUGAGAAAAGGAGUAGGAGGGUUGUAGGUUGGAAGAGAUUUGAGAAUCGUCAAAUGAACAUAGUUAAAGAUAUCUAAGUUGUCUCUAGAAAAUCCAUUUACUACAAAAGAUAUUUUUGUAGUUCACCUUUUGGACCCAUGACAACUAGGUUGGAACAAUUCAUUACCAUGUCGCCGACACAGGAUUUCGUCUUCAAGCUUUAACAUUUUGGCACUCUCAAUUCAAAAGGCAAGAGACUAAAACGAGAAAGUGUUUAUACCCUACUUGAUCUGUCCAGUAUCCAAGCUCUCUGACGUGAGACGGAUCUAGACGAACACCAAGUUGGGAUGAUUUGCGGAACUUUGACCCUUCUAGAAUCACGAGCCACGAACUAAGGAGAUUCCUUAACCCACGACUAGCCACUUUAGUGAACCAAAAGUAUAGAUAGAAGAACGCCACAAUCAAGGAGACUACUUGAUUGAUAAGUUCGUUGAACAACUUGAGAUUAAUUCUCAAGUAUUCAAAGGAAAUUCUCUUGAAGCAAGAGAGAGUGAAUAAACUCACAAUUAUGUUAUAAAAUCUGAAUUCUCCCCUAAUGAAUGAAAACCUAGGCUAUAUAUAGCCUUACAAGACAAAACCCUAACUCGGCUAGGCUAGGCCUUUGGCCCGAUUCCACUACUCAAAUCCACUAUCUAAUGGUCAGCUUAUAAUUGAUCCAAUGGCUUUUAGCUGCCCAAUGUUAAGUUGAGCUCCAUGAGGUCUUGGACCGAAUUUAUUCCUAGCAAAUAAAAUAGAAAUCUAGAAUAAACUACUAACUAUUACAAGACAAAACCCUAACUCGGCUAGGCUAGGCCUUUGGCCUGAUUCCACUACUCAAAUCCACUAUCUAAUGGUCAACUUAUAAUUGAUCCAAUGAAGGCUUUAAGCUGGCCCAACAUAACCCAAUAAAAGCUAAUUAACCAACUUAAGUUAUAGUGAGCCUAGACUCUAUAAAUCGGAUCCAACUCAACAUGAGGUCUUGGACCGAAUUUAUUCCUAGCAAAUAAAAUAGAAAUCUAGAAAAUAAACUACUAACUAUUACUAAAAGAUUCAAUCUCUUGCAGCCCAAAACAUGGCCCAUAAGCGGCCCAUAUUUCGUAUCAUUCCCCUCCUCUUGAAAAAGAUUUGUCCUCAAAUCGUGUUUGGAAAUGAAUAGUACUACAAGAAUUGGUAGUAUGAAACUUCAAAUCUCCACAUAUUGGCUCUCUUAGAAUGAAUGAUACUUGCAUACGUCAUGAUUAUUGUAAUUCGGUGCACAUGUCUCUUGGUCAGCUUGAAAAUGCUCACAAUCUGCCAUGGGAAACUCAAGGCUUGACUCCAACCACUCCAAAGCUCUCUAAUCAGUCCUGUGUCAUGAAUGGUCAACUUUGGACCUACACAAUAAAUCACACGAUUAGCAUUUGUAGGUAUAAAAUCACUUGAUAGCUUUCCAUUCACAUUCACAAGAUAAGGAUCUUCAUAGUGAUGCUCAAUCAGGUUAGAAAAGUCCCGGACAUGAUUUUGCAAAGUUACAAAAUUCAUUGCAAGUUGUUGUUGGUAUGGCCUAUCUUGCACAAAUGGAGUAAGAUCGAGAUAGGCAGCUUCUGAACCUUCAAAUUGAAGAAUAAAAUCAGGUUGUAAGGAAUCAGAAUUUGGACCAAUGAGGAAAGGAUUGUCACCAACAAAAUAAGAAGGAAAUUUAUAACAAGUUUCAAGUGUAGAAACUCCCUUUGAAACUUCAUUAUUCCUCCCAACAAGCAAAUCAGGCUCAUGGUUGACGUUGAACAUCAGUGGAUGACAAAGAGAGACAACACUUAAGGUGCAAACUCCAUGAAAAGUUUGAUAUUCACCAAUGGAUUUAGGCAUAGAACAUGCCAAGAUCAACUCAAUUUUUCCUUGCUUAACCUGCAUAAAAGUAGAAACACUAAACAAAGUAGAGUCAAGAUCGUUAGAAAAAACAUAUGGUCUCACAUCCUUUCUCACAAUCAGCUUACUCUUAGAAUUUUUAAUCUCUUGUUCAUGCUCAGUAGCUGACUUUUUCCCCUCAUUAUUCUCAACCUCUUUCUCCUUUUCAACUCCCUCGAAUUUUACCUCUUCAGUCACAAUUCUCUCCUCCAGCUCUUUCUUCAUACUAUAACGCUCAUGCUCACUCUUCAUGUAUGCUAGAUCAAUACAAAGUUGCUUAGAGUUAAGCGACACAAGCCUGGUACGACGGCCAUUAAAUGUGAAGGAAUACUUAUUAGUAUAUCCAUCAUAUUUGACUUCUCGAUUAAACAUCCACCAUUGUCCCAACAGCACAUGCGUCACUUGAAUGGGAACCACAUCACACAACACCUCAUCCACGUAUUGACCAAUACGAAAAGGAACAAGUGUGUGCUUAGUAAUCCAAAUAUCACCACUAUCACUUUGCAACUUGUAAGGUCGAAGAUGAUCAAUGGUUGGAAGAUUCAAUUUCUCAACCAAGACAGUACUUGCGAGAUUAACUUCACAACCCUUAUCAAUGGCUAAGCUGCAAACUUUAUCCUUGAUAUGGCAACGUGUAUAAAACCAAUCAUUUUUUUGAGCUUUGAUGAUUUCCAAUUGCUCAGUUAUCUCACGCAAUGCCACAGUAUUUACUCCUUUAGGCACAAGAUGGUGAAGCUCCAGUUGAGCAUUCGUUUGUCUCAUACUUUUAUUACCUGCAAAACUCAACAAAAAUUAGUAGAACAGUCCUCACUCGCUCCCUUACGUGUUUCACUCCUCUCGUGUUUUCACUCAAGUGUGUAUGGCACUCUAAUGCUCUCACCAAUUCACUUCUCAAACCACUUGUUUGUUUCCUUUGAAGAAAUCAGAAAUUUUCUCAAGGAAGUUCAAUCAAACUUUAAUCAAUAUAGCUCCCAAUUGUAUCAAAGGAACAAGGAAACAAAAAGUAGAAAUGGAAAGCUCAAGUAAUGAAUAAGGAAUGGAAGAGGAAAAAAUUGAUGUACAAAGAAAAAGAAAGUCCAAGUACGAUGAUGGAGUUCCCAAGUGCUUUACUUAAUUGCCCAAUUGAUUUUUGGAAACAAGUUAGGUGUUGGACUUAUUUGGAAAUUUCCUUAAAGUCGGCUAACCAAACAGAAUUAUUACCAAAAUUUUUCCAGAUUCCCUCUCCAAAAACCUUCCUAAAGUCGGCUAUAACAAAUCAGAAUUGUUCCCAAAAAAAUUCCAGAUUUCCUUCUCUUUUGAAACCUUCCAAAGUCGGCUGCAAAACAGAAUUUGGUAGCUUAAAAAUUUCCAGAUUUCUGCUCCUUUUAAACCUUCCAAAGUCGGCUGCAAAACAGAAUUUGGUAGCUUCCUAACCCCAAAAUUUUCCAGAAUUGCCUCUUCUUAAAUCCCCUCAAAAUUUUCGUCCCUUACUCUCCCUCAAGAACAACAAUUCGGCCCUCCCCUCUUUGCUCCACACAAGGACAGUUUUGACGCUUGGUGCUAAACAAUGGCUUCACAAGAUGACACAAGCAACGUCACCCAAGAAUACCCCAAGCGGCCUGCUCAAGAAACUCCCAAGAGGUUUACUCCUAAGCCAAGAAAGCCCCGUAUGGAUGCAAGGACGUACAAGAAACUGUUUAUACGUAGGGAGGUGCAAAUCUUCAAGAAUCAAGAUGGUCAAGAUCCUCAAAAAACUCAACGGGUGAUACAAGUGAUCAAGGCUCAAGGUGUGCAAGAUUUUCAAGAGGAGGUUGGUCAAAACUUUUGAGUAGUCUUUUCUUGAUGUAAUUUUCUGGUUUGUUUUUUUUUUUUUGACUCUAAGAACACACAAUUACUCGGCUGUUUUUUUUUUGGGUAGAAUUCCAGAAUUUAAUGUCAAUCCAAUGUUCUCCUUCAAUCCUCCAAUAAUUAUCAAGACAUGUAUCAAAGUUUCAAGACUUCAAGAUUAGUUUCAAGAAACUCAAGAAACCCUAGAUUAUGGUAGUCCCUCUCCAAGAUUCCAACCCCAAACAAGUUCAACCACAAAAUCAGUUUAGGAAAUUAAUUAAAACAACUUGGUGGAAUAAACUAAAGUUUGGACAGAUUUGGCAAGAAACUUGCGCCCAAGGAAACCCUAGCGGCUGGAUUUUUUUUUUUUUUACUCUAAACCAACACAAAACUUCAAGAACAAUAUAACAAGACACCAAAAUAAGAAAGAAACACAAGUUAUGAACAAAAGUUUUUUUUUUUCGGGAUGAACAGUGUCACUACAGUAGCGGUGAACAGUAUCGCUACAGUGCGGCACGGUGAACAGUAUCGCUACAGUAGCGAUGAACAGUACGAUGCUACAGUACCUUUUUUUUUUUUUUUUUGUAAUAACAAUCGGACUUGACACAAAGGAAGACACGACCAGAAUUGCAAAAAAAAAUUGACUAGAAAGCUUACGAACAAACUCAACGGGAUAUACUUGAUGUCGUCGACUAGCUCUGAUACCAACUGACGUGAGACGGAUCUAGACGAACACCAAGUUGGGAUGAUUUGCGGAACUUUGACCCUUCUAGAAUCACGAGCCACGAACUAAGGAGAUUCCUUAACCCACGACUAGCCACUUUAGUGAACCAAAAGUAUAGAUAGAAGAACGCCACAAUCAAGGAGACUACUUGAUUGAUAAGUUCGUUGAACAACUUGAGAAUCAUUCUCAAGUUGUUCAACGAACUUAUCAAUCAAGUAGUCUCCUUGAUUGUGGCGUUCUUCUAUCUAUACUUUUGGUUCACUAAAGUGGCUAGUCGUGGGUUAAGGAAUCUCCUUAGUUCGUGGCUCGUGAUUCUAGAAGGGUCAAAGUUCCGCAAAUCAUCCCAACUUGGUGUUCGUCUAGAUCCGUCUCACGUCACUCUCUAUCUUUGUAUUUAUUUAUAUGUAUACCAUCUUUAAAAGUGCUAUAGGUCUUGUUGGUUGAGUGUUAGGAGAAAUUGUUUGAGUUUUCAUUAUGUACAAAAUAUCUCAUUUGUGAUAGCUUUUGCAAAGUUUAUCAAUUAUAAAUUGAGAUCACCAUUAAAACAAAAUUAAUGUCCAAAUAAACAGUUGUUGCCGACCAUUAAGCUCCAUUUUGAUUUAUACUUUGUGUCAAAAUUUCUCACAACCAAAAUACUCCACAAACUCAGCUCAAGAAAUAGUAAAAACUUGUUGGUUGAAAUCCCAUGAGAGCAUACUAGUACUAUAUUUUCUAUUAAGAACAAGUUCUUAUCCCGUGCACUUGCACGAAUUAUUUUUUUUAUUUAACUUAUUAUUAACUUAAAUCUCGAAAACAAAGACAUUCAUUUAGUAGAUAAACUUUGUAACCUCUUCAAAGAGUGUAAUUAUCCAAAAAUAGUUUGAAACAUUUAAAAGGAUAUGCUAAAAUUAAAAAUUACAAUAGGGAUAGGCAUGAAUAUUGAACAACAUAUUUUAUACAUUGGAUCCAAAGUCAAAGUAGUUAAAAAAAUCAACACAAUAUUUUAUUUGUUUAAAUUCUCUAACCUAAAUAUACUGAACAAAAGCAUAUAAUGAUUAAACAAUCUUCUUGAAUAAAAAAUAGAAAUUCUUCUUAAAUAGUUCAUUUGCACAAUAGUUAGCCAGUUGCAUCAUUAUUGUAAUUCGCGUCGAUGUAGACAAAAAAAAAAAAAAAAAGAAACAUAGGUUUAUUGGUUCUAUGAAAACAAUAUUUCCUUAUUGCAAAAGUAUAAAAAAGAAGGAAAAAAAAAGUAUAAUAACAACCUAAGACACUUAAAGACAAUUCUUGAAGUACCAAAAAUUUUUAAAACUGUUUGCACUGCCCCCAUCUGGUGACCAAUAGCUAAAUUAAUGAAGAAGUUAUCGCGUUAACAGUAAGGCAAAGUAAAAUCCCAAACAUUUCCUCACCAAAGAAAGCAAAAGUGAAAAAUAAAUCCUGAAAAUGUCAAACCAUAUGAGUAUAAUGUUCUUUUUUCUUAUAUUUUUUUCUCUUAUUUAUGCAAUACCUUCAAUAUUAGGAACCAAAUUCUUCCUGCAACAAAAACAAUAUAUAAAGAAAAAGAAAAAGGUAUAAAUAUACUUUGAUACGAAUAUCCCACAAGGUAAAAAUAAAAAAAGAUUUUUUAGCACUAAAAGUUCCAUCAGGCACUAACAUAAGGCCACAUUCGCAAAUGCGCAAUUAAUUUUGCUCUUUAGACUUUGCUUUAUGAACCUAACCAAAGAAUAUCUUCUUAAAAACUAAACUAAAAUUCACAUAAAAGAAACCCAUUAGUUACCAUAAACAGAAAGCUUUUAGAGUAAAAAAAAAAAAAGAUCCAAUCUGACCGAAUGCAAUAGGAACAAAUAAUUUGGAAAUAAAAAUAUUCCAAUAUGACAUGAGGAAAUUGCAACAAAAAAGUUUGAAACAAUAAAAUUAACAUUCACUAUACAAAAAGAUAAAAAAAAUUACUUAGGUAAUGUGUAUUUAAUAGAUUGAAGGGUUAGAAUCCUUCUCCCUUCUCUCUCAGGAUUUUGAAUAUUGAAGUUUGAAGUUUUAGGGUUAAGCAUCCAUGGCUGUUUGAUACAGAAGACAGAAAGGGGACCAAAAGCUCCCUACCAGAAGAGAUGAAAAAAAUGGAGAACACCUCUUGGUGGCGAGGGAGUCGAUAUUAUUGUUGAUGAUCAGAGUUUAGAAAAGAGAUUUGGGAAAAGGAAUUUGUUACAAACUAUUCGAUGAUAUUCCCUGGGCACUAUUGAUCCUUUAUACUAGUAGAGAGGCAGUGCAAGUGGAGUUAGUUAUAACUAACUUCAUUUGCCAUUCCUUGCUAUUUCUGGUGCCAUGCAUGUGAUCAGCACGUAAUCUUCCCAUGCAUGACCUUACUAAUUUUGUUAAUUGGUUACAUACCAGCUAAACAGAAAAACAAACGUAGAAGAAGAUAACAAAGUUAAAAAAUGCUCAAAAUACCCAUGGUCAAUAUUUGUGUACGUAACAGAUGCUCCCUCCUGAGAAAGUCCUUGUCCUCAAGGACUAAAGGCAGAGAACUUCUGUUUUAAGUCGUGCAAGAACUCCCAUGUUGCAUCCUCUGGAAAUGAAUUACUCCAUUGGACUAAAACCUGAGUUGCUGCCUGAUUCCCUUUCUUCGCAAUGCGCCUAUCCAGAAUAGCAACUGGUUCGAUCAGCAGUUGACCUUGAUCGUUGAUUGCAGCUGGUAAGUGGGGUGCGACAGUCUGAGAUCCUAUCUUCUUUUUCAAUAAUGAUACGUGGAAGGUUGGAUGGAUGCGUGCAUAAUCAGGGAGUUGCAGUUUGUAGGCCACUUUCCCUAUUCUUUCUAUGACUGGAAAAGGUCCAAAAUACCUUGGAGCAAGCUUCUGACAACUGGAUGAUUUGAGGGAAUGUUGUUUAUAUGGGUGUAAUUUGACAUAAACCAUGUACCCAACUGUGAAUUCUCGAUCAGUCCUAAUUCGAUCAGUCCUACGGGCAUCCGCAAUUUGCUUCAUGCGAUGUUGAGCCUUCUGAAGGUUGUGCUUAAGGAGGUGCAGUACUUUUUCCCUUGCAGCCAAGCUUCUAUCCACGGCCUCUACCACAGACGAACCAGGAAGGUAAGGAACAUGGAGAGGGGGUAGCUGCCCAUAAACCACUUGAAAGGGAGUGAUUUUUGUAGCCGAGUGGUAGUUCGUGUUGUACCAGAAUUCAGCUAGGGGCAGCCAAGAAUACCAUGUACGAGGCUGUUCACUUGUCAUGCAUCGUAGAUACCCUUCCAAGCACCUAUUUACCACCUCAGUUUGCCCAUCAGAUUGAGGGUGGUAGGAACUAGAGAAGUGUAGCUGGACCUUCAAGAGCUUGAACAGUUCUAUCCAGAAUUGGCUGAGAAAGAUCGAAUCUCUGUCACUGACGAUGGUUUGAGGGAGUCCAUGUAACUUAAAAAUGUGAUCCAUGAAGGAUUGAGCAACCUCCAUCGCGGUGUAGGGGUGAGAUAAGGCGCAGAAGUGUGCAUAUUUGCUCAAACGAUCUACUACCACCAUAAUGACUUGCCUUCCUUGAGAUUUCAGGAGGCCUUCAAUAAAAUCCAUCGAGAUGUCUGUCCAGACUUUUGUAGGUAUUGGCAACGGUUGUAAGAGACCCGGAUAAGCUCCAAUUCUGCCUUAUGCCUUUAGCAUGUGUCACAAGCAGUAACGAAUUUGUAAACAUCCUCAUGCAUGUGUUUCCAAUAAAAUGUCCCCUUUAAUUUAUGGAAUGUCACCAGAACUCCAGAGUGUCCUCCAAAGGAACUUGUGUGCCAGAAUUUUAUUAUUUUGUCCCUGAGCAUUUUGUCAGCUCCUACUACCAGUUUUCCCUUCCUCCUUAACACCUGGUUGUCCCAACUAUAAUGCUUGGCCCUGGAAGUGUCACCCGAGAUCAGCAGCUGAAUGGUUUCCUGUACCUUAGGAUCUGAUUGCCAUGAUUGCUGUAUCUCAGAUAGCAAAUCAGUAGUAAUACCAUGGAUUGCCCAAGAGGUGGCGGUUGCAUGAGGUAUCCUAGAUAAAGCAUCAGCUGUGACAUUUUCACUACCCUUCUUGAACUGCACCUCAUAGUCAUACCCCAUCAAUUUGGAUAACCACUUCUACUGGCUAGGUGUUGAAAUUUUUUGCUCCAUCAGAUAUUUGAGGCUUUGAUGAUGAAAUGUCCUCCUAACAGGUAUGGUCUCCAUUUAUGUAUUGCAUUCACAAUGGCUAGCAUUUCCUUUUCAUAAACUGAUAGGCCCUGGUGCUUAGGUGCUAAGGCCUUGCUAAAGAAUGCUAGUGGUCUUUCCUGCUGUAGCAAAACAGCUCCAAUGCCCGAGUUGGAAGCAUCCGUUUCUACUACAAACUCCUGGGAAAAAUCUGGUAAGGUUAGUACAGGAGGGGAGGUCAUAGCAAGCUUCAAUUGAUCGAAUGCUGCGGUGGCUCCAUCAUGCCAUGCAAAGGCAUUUUUCUUGAGCAGAUCCGUUAAGGGCCUUGCUAUUAUCCCAUAUCCUUUAAUAAACCUGCGAUAAUAGCCUGUCAAGCCCAAAAAACCCCUCAACUCCUUAAUAGUAACAGGUGUAGGCCACUGCUGAAUGCUCACAAGUUUCUGAGGAUCUGCGCUAACUCCCUCUACCGAAAUCACGUGACCCAAGUAUUCAAUCUUGUCAGCCGCAAAAGAGCACUUGUUCUUUUUGACCUUGAGUUGGUGUUUGAGCAAAGUCUCAAACACUGUUGUCAAGUGCUGUAUAUGCUCCUUCCCGGACUUACUGUAUAUCAAGAUGUUGUCAAAGAAAACCAGUAGGAACUUCCUUAGAAAAGGCCUGAAGAUAUCAUUCAUUAAACUCUGGAAGGUUGAUGGUGCGUUGGUUAGGUCAAAUGGCAUAACUAAAAAUUCAUAGUGUCCAUCAUGAGUCCGAAAUGCAGUUUUAGCAAUAUCGUCCGAAUGCAUUCGAAUCUGGUGAUACCCCGACCUUAGAUCUAAUUUAGUAAAAUAACAGCUCCAAACAGUUCAUCAAAGAGCUCUUCGACCAGUGGAAUAGGGAAUUUAUCCUUUACCGUGGCCUUGUUGAGCUCUCUAUAGUCCACACACAUUCGCCAAGUAUCGUCUUUCUUUUUUACCAAGACUACGGGAGAGGAAAAAGGGCUAUUACUGGGUCUAAUAACACCAUUAUCCAACAUUUCAGUCACCAACCUUCCGAUUUCACCUUUCUGAAAUGCAGGGUAUCUAUAGGGUCUAACAUUUAUUGGUUGUGUACCCUCUUUGAGAUAGAUCCUGUGGUCAUGCAUUCUAGCAGGGGGUAAUAUCAUAGGCUCUUCAAAUACCUCAUUGUAGUUUGCUAAAAGUAGCUCAAGUUGGUGUUUGUAGGGAGUUACCUUUACUUCACGCUCCAUGGAGGCACAGUCCGCUGUCACUUCCACUUCCUUGUAGUCAUUUUCUGCCGUCACCAAGCAUAGUUGAGCUGUUUCAAUUUGCUCAGGUUUGCUCAGGAGCUUCUGCAUUUGCUUUUUGGAAACUACUUGAACUGGUUGUUGCUUGGUCCCCCUUAAUACCGCCUUCUUGCCCUUCUGAACAAACUCCAUUCGUAACUCAGCGAAAUUCCACUUGACAUCCCCUAAAGUAGAUAACCACUGCAUUCCAAGUACUACUUCACAACCGCCUACAGGUAGGACCAGUAUAUCUCCCUCAAAUGCUUGGCCUUGCAUUCUCCACUGGAACCCAGGACAUAGAGUGGUCGUGGUGAGAGAAUUUUCAUCUGCCACUACUACUUUAACAGGGGCAACUUGCACCGUUCUCAGGCCAAACUUCCUUACCAUGUUGGGGUGUAGGAAGUUGUGGGAGCUGCCACAAUCUAUAAGGAUACUGAAGGUUUUUCUUUCGAUUUGGCCAUGUAUUCUCAUCGUCUUGAAAUUAGGAACCAGUAAGCUACACAUGGCACUUGUAGAAAUUUGAGCUAGAUUACCUUCUGUCGACACUUCUUGCUCAUCCUCCUCCAAACACUCUCGUUCCUGCUCCUCAGUCUCCUCUUCAACGCAUUCAAUCCUGAAAAGCUGCCUCCUCUUGCACUGAUGGCCGGGACUGUAACGUUCAUUGCACCAGUUAUCUCUCUUUCAUCCAUUUUUGCAGUGCUCAAGAAUCAGGAAUUUUGCCUCUGUUCCCCCACAUUUCUCCCCCCUUGUUCCCCUGGUUUGGGUAAUAUAGGAGUGCUGUUAAAAUUACCUUGCCUGGCGAAGCUGUUACUGGAGCCAACAUUUGGUGAGUAAGGGGUAGGCAUCCUUGAGGGUCCCGGGUGCUUGUUGUUUUUUCAACCAUUCAGAAUUUUGGCCUCCUCAAUUUUAGCUAGGCCCACUGUGUGUUGGAGGUCACGUGGCAUGAACAUCCUCACUGACAACUGAAUUUCCUCCCUCAAUCCCCUUAUGAAACAGCUCACCGCAUAUUGCUCAGGAAGAGCCACUCGAUUCAGCAGCUCUUCGAAUGAAUCCUGGUAUUCCUUCACGGUCCUGGUCUGCUUCAAGCUCUUCAGAUCUCCCAUGGGAUCAUCAUAAAGGCAAUCCCCAAAUCUGGCGCCUAAGGCCCUCACGUACUCUUCCCAUGAAGGUGGAUCCCUGGAAAUCCUAGCCUUCAUGAAAACUUGAUGCCACUGCAGAGCCUUAUCCUCCAAAUGCAUCACAGCUAUUCUGACCUUAGUUUCUGAAGAAGUUUCAUCAAUUUCAAAGAAUUGGUCACACUUAUAUAACCAGCUCUUGAAGUCCACUCCUCCGAAUUUGGGAAACUCGAUGCGAGAAAAUCUGGUUGGAGUAUGAUAGCUGCCUCCGCGGCUUCCUGGAUAUUCAUCCUUGGAAUUGCGUGGUGAUUCUGGCUGCCCAGGGCUCUUUUGGUUACAAACUUCCAAAACCAAACUUUUGAUUGCUUCCAGUUCUCGUUCGAGCUGCUCCCUCUGUUCCUUCAGCAAAUUCUGGAUAGUUUCCUCGAACUUCCUGUUCUCUUGGCCCCUAGUGCCUUCUGCCAUUACCACUGGAUCUUUUGACUGAGCUGGGAUGAACCAGCUCUGAUACCACUG